CUUAGGAAUGUAAAGUAGCAAGUGAAAUGCUCAUACCACACAAUCAUGAAUAACAUCUUAUCAUUUCCAAAGCAAACAAGAAGACAAACCAACCAAAGAAUGCAUCAUAAGUGAUAGAAUCUUCACAAGAUAUACGAUUAUGCCAAAAUAUUCAAAAUAUUAUUUUUAAUCGAUCUGAAAUUUUUCAGCAAGUUUCGGCACCCCAAAAAAUUUUCUUUGUAAAUUUUAGUCUUUGAUUUUAAGUCAAGUCAUGUAUACUUAUAUUUUUGAAUGACUUCUUAUAGAGAUGUUUGUAAUAUUAUAACAAACUCUCCCACAAAAAUUUAAAUUUCUUUAUGAUUUUUAAGCGUUAAAAUUUCAUAUAAUAAACAUGAGUGUAAAACAUAAUUAAAAAAUGAAGAAACAUAUUUGAUCAUUUAGCCAAACAAAACCAUAUAUGCGAGGAGAUUUUAAGACUCAAACUUUUGUAUUAGAAUAAUGCCUAAAGAAAUUUAAAAUUUUGAAAACAAAAUCAGUUUUUAUUUUUAUUUUUUAAUAAAACAAAAUCACUCUUUCCAUUCUUAAAAAAAAAUAAAAAAACAUUUUUUCCAUAAUAAAACAAAAAUGCUGUUUAAAAAUCAAAACAAUGAAGUGACCAAAAAAAUCAAAAAAAUGUACCGCGAAAAACAAAGGAUCAAAAUGGAGCCUGACCGGGGAAAAAAGAAAGAGGGUAAAUGCGUCUCAACAAUCCAUCAACCAGCUCAUCGAUCCGUGUCAUUGUUGAAUCAAAACACGAUCCUGCCCGUCUAUCACUAUCUCCUUUUAACGGAUGAAACAAUUCCACGUCAUCGAUCCGGGGCAAACUUCACUACCCAAUAGAAACACGAGAAUCGUCUUAUAUAUUAAUCAAACCGCAUCAAUCGUUCUUCAUCUACAUCCUUUUUUCUGCAAUCGUUUGAUUUUCAAUUCCCAAUUCAAAACCCUAACUUUCUUCCAACUUCCAAAUUCUCAAUGGCACCAAAGGGAGAGAAGAAGCCAGCGGAGAAGAAACCCGCUGAGGAGAAGAAGUCCACCGUCGCCGAGAAGGCUCCGGCGGAGAAGAAGCCAAAGGCAGGAAAGAAGCUACCAAAGGAAGGUGGUUCUGCAGCAGGAGACAAGAAGAAGAAGAGAAGUAAGAAGAAUGUAGAAACAUACAAGAUCUACAUCUUCAAAGUUCUGAAGCAGGUUCACCCAGACAUUGGUAUCUCAAGCAAGGCCAUGGGUAUCAUGAACAGUUUCAUCAAUGAUAUCUUCGAGAAGCUUGCUCAAGAAUCAUCCAGACUUGCUCGUUACAACAAGAAGCCAACAAUCACUUCAAGGGAAAUUCAGACUGCAGUCAGGCUUGUUCUUCCUGGUGAAUUGGCCAAGCAUGCUGUCUCAGAGGGAACCAAAGCUGUGACCAAGUUUACUAGUUCUUAGAUUUUCCUUUGUUGGGAUCUUGUUUGAUGUUACUUCAUCGGAUAUUAGGGAUUGUUAGAAGUUUUAAUUAGUAGUUUUAGUUUUUUUGCUUUGAAGCUGUAAUGAAGUAGUGAGAUCUGGUUGAUCCUCUUUGUGUAUGAUAAUGGUGGAAUUAAUGACAUUUAGUUUAAAAAUUGUUUGUAUUGUUCAAUUUAAUUUUCUGCACUUGUUCUGUAAGUUUUAAAACACUUUCAGUUAAUGAAACCUGCAUUAUUUUAUUAGGUUAUCAUUCUACAGAAAAUGAAAUUUCUAUUUGAGCUGCUUCAAGAUUUGAGCCAACUCUGUUUUGGAUUGAGUUGAAUUUUGAAUAAAUUUGCUAAACUUUUAUACUGUAAAUACUAAAUACGUUUAUUGGUUGUUUGGUUGUUUUUGAUUUUGAAGAAUAGAUUGUAAUUCACAUCCAAUACCAUUUUAUUUGCUGAGUUGGAUGUACUGAUUUCUAAUUUUCACUGUUGGAAUUUAAACAUAGAUUUUUAACCUGAAAAGCACAAGCUUAGAUUCUGUCUUUUAAGCACAUAUCUUGCACACUUAACACACAUGAGCUAUUUUGAUAAAAAAAGAUUGAGCUAUUUUGAUAAAAAAAGAUCAUAUACAGCUCAAGGCUGGAUCAAGUAUCAACACAGUGGUAAUCUUUUGAGUGGUAUUUGUAAAGACAAUGAUUACAUUGUUUAUGAUUUGAACGUAAGUUACUAUAAUCAUAGUUUGAGAGUAAGCAUAUGCAGAAUAUGCCAACUAGUUGCUAUACAUUCUACAUAGCUUAGAUAUUUGAUAUCCAUCAUACACCCCAGUGCCAUCCUAAAUGAGUAUGUAGAGAACUUCUUCAUUCCAAUUAUUCAUAAUGCAAUCCGUCAAUGAACUCAAUAUAGUUUAGGGAUCAAGUAUUUUUUGUUGAAUUUCUAUUAUCCAAUUGAUCUAAUGAAAUGGAAAAGUUAAAAUAAAUUGAUAGGCUAUGUGUAGAUGCCGAGCCAUGAGGGAGAGUCUCACCAAGUUGAAUCAUCACGCUAGCCUAUUAGUAAUUACACAAGUGAGUUGGACACAACAUCUUCACCCAAAACCUCUCGCUCCCCCCACAAAGUCGAACAAGGACUCUCAUACCAUUGUUAGACCAUGAACGAAGUCUCAUUGGAUUGGAUCAUCACAUUGCACUAACAUCAACUAUACAAGUGAGUUUGACACCACUACUACAAGAAAAAUGGAUUUUCCGAAAAAAAUAUUCUCAUAAAGAGCACUAAUUUUCCUUGGAAAGGUUCAUUUGUAUUUCUAGAAUUGUAUUGUUGCCAUAGGAUUUUUCUCUAUAUAAGCACAUGCUUAUAUCUUUGUUUAUUAAGCACUUAUCUUGCACACUUGCCUUUGUUUGGUUAGGGUUUCAAUUCUAGCACCUCAAAAUUGCUCUUUUUAUGCCUACAGGGAAAAUACACAAAGAUAUUUUUGGCUCUGAUACAACCUUCACAACUCAGGUUGUAUACACAAAUAUGCCUACACUGUAUAUACUAUAUAUGAAGGGGAUAGAGAUUUUGGGCUAAACUUUUUAUAGUUCAAAUUAUACCCUUAAACAAAUUUUCCUAUUUUAAAUUUAUAUUGUUGGUGAUUAAAGAUAAGAGUUUAUAUUAUAUUUGAUAAAUUACUGUUGUCAUUGAAAAAGAUACAAUUUUUACUUUUAAUUUUAAUUAAAAUCAAAAUUCAAUCCAUAAUUUACGUGCAUUAGCAUAGUAAAAAUAGCAGAAAGAUGGACAUUUGAGUGGCUCACUUUUCACUAGUAUUUUUUUUUGAAAAAAAAAAACUAAGUUAAUAAUAAUAAUAAUAAUCUAUACUCCUUUAAAAACAAUAAUAAUCUAUACUCACUGUAUAUAUAGAAAGUAGACUGGUUUUGACUGUGUGAUAUAUAUACCCAUAGUUUUAAUCAAAAUCAAAAUUUUAUUUAAACUAAUUUUUAUAAUUUAUACGCAUUAGCGCAAUAAAAAGAUAGUAGGAAGACAGACACAAAGUGCACUGAAGACUAGUUUUAAUAGUUAGUGGAGUACAAUUUUGAUCAUUGUGUUUGCAAAAGUGUCUUUUACUUCAUACAUUUAUGCAAAAAGAAGAAAAUACCAACAAAAAAAAUGAAAAAAAAAAUACUUAGUGAUAAUUUCAAAGUAACAAAUGAUGUAAUUUAUAAUUUAUCAUAAAAUAAUAGAAUGUUACCCAAUUUUAUGUGAUUAUUAAUAAAAAAUACAAUAGAUGAUAGAAUCAUAAUACAUAAAUGUAAAAGGAGUUAUAAUUUACAAUCACUUUGAAUUUCGAACAUAUAUAAUAAUUAACUCCUGCGACAUGCACAAUUCAAAGUGUCAUAUUUAAUACAUGAAGAAUAAGAAAGAUAUGUAUUCUUUGUAAUAUAUAUUAGUGGUUUGUGCAUGUAGUUGAUGUUGUUGUUUGUAAUUGAAAUACAUGACUUCAGAAGUCAUAGUUAAUUCAUGAAGAAUGAGAAGGAUAUGUAUUAUUUGCUACAUAUAUUGUUGGUUCGUACAUGUAGUUGGUGUUUUCAUUUCUGAGUGAAAUGCCGGAGCCCAAGAGUCAUGUUUAAUUCAUGGGUAAUGAGAAAAAAUUGAUUGUGUAAUUUAUCUAAUAUUCAAAAUUUAUUUUUUGAUUUAAAAUCAAUGAUACAUUAAUUAUGUUUUUAUCUUUUCUUUAAUAAAUAAAGCAUGCAUUCACCAUGGUUUGAUAGGUUUUCUAAAAUGAUUCUCUUUGUCAAUUGAGAAUGUGUCAAAUAUGUUAGGUUUUUAGGGAUGAAAAGUGUGUACCUCGAAGGAGGCUAUGACUUGACAUUUGUAGUAAUGAAUGAUAGUUUUUAGUCUCUCUAGCCCUAAUAUGGAGAGAUGUCCUAAAGGGACACUUGUGAAAAAUUUAGGGAAGGUUAACCUUGGAUUUGGAAUGAGUGGCCUAAAUUAGCUUUCGUGGUUCUGAUCCAAUGGAUUUAGGGAGAGUUCAGAUGAUGGUUUGUGUAUAUGAUGGUGGCUUAAGAUUACCCAAUCCAUUGAACAAGUGAGCCUUGAGCCAGCCUGAAAUAGUUGCUCAUUGUUUAUGAUUGAAAUACAUGACUUCGGAAGUGAUUUUGAGGGAAUAUAGUUUUGAAAAUUGAAACAGCAAUUUUUAGUUCUUGGUUCUUUGUAUCGAAAGAGUGAUUUUGUUUUAUCCAAUCAAACUCACAUUAAAGUGCUUUUUUUUAUUAUAAAUUAAUUCCUAAAAUAUUUUAAAAAAAACCUAAAUAAUGUGAGUGAAAAAAAUUACAAUGACGAUAUAUGAAAAUUAAAUCUUUUACAAAAUUUUUUAUUGUACAUUAUUUUUAUAUUUAGAAGAUGAAAUAUAUACAUAAUCUUUACCUCUUCAUAAAUAAAUUACCAUGCAAAAACGAAAUUAUAGAAAAAUAAAAUAAAAAUAUUGAAAAUAAAGUAUACAUGCAAACUAUGCUUAUACAUGAUCAUUGAAACUUAUUUUGAUAAUUACACAUUCAAAAACAAUUUUAAUUAACACAAUACAAAAGUUACUUUUGCAAUAUGUAUCCAAACAUUUUAAACCAAACUGGUGAAGAAACAAUACAUACAAUUUCAGACUAGGUAAAGCUCAACCCAACAACAGAACAUGUCACUCAGAAGUCAUUGAUCUAGAGAGGACCCAUGGAUGUGUCUAAGAGGCAAACUCAAGUGAUCAAAUCAUGAUUGUGUGAUGAAGAUCAUAUAAUGAUUUGUCUAUAAUUGUCAUUUAAGGUAAAUUGUCCAACUAGACAUUUUGGUCUACAAACCCUAAUUCUCAUCCUAUAAAGGCUAACUCAUGACUCGAGUGCAUACAUGCUAUGCUAUUCUAAACUCUAAACCUCACACUUAAGUGUUUGUAGGUACACUACCUACUUUGAGGACCAUACAUGUAUCUAACAUGGAUCACGUUGAUGAGUAAAGCAACAAACCGCAUAAAAAACACCACAAUGGAGAAGACAAGGGACCUUUUCAUGCUGGACCUAACAAGGGAUCCUUUCAUGCUGGACACACAAAAGUUGGAAGGCAUAUUGAAGGAUUCGAUUGCAAAAAAUGGGUUUAUAAGUUGUUCUUACACAACCAGUGAAGAGACUGAUAAACAUAUUGAUGGAUCUUGAUAUGAAAAUGUUAUGAUUCAAAAUAGCACAUGAGAAAAUACACUUGGAAAAAUGUAAUUGGUUGAGCUAAAUAGACAUGUGGCGUGAUUGUGCUUAAACAGGGAAAGGAUGAUCACUAAGGGUUAUGAAGAAAAAUGAUGAAAGUCUCUCCUCUCUCUCUUUGGUACUCUCUUUGAGAGUAAUGGCUUAAGUCUUUGGACUAAGGGUGUGUUUGGUCCAACUUUUUUCAGACAUAGAAGCAAUUUUAAACUUAAAAGUUAAAAUCAUUAGCUUUAAAAAUGAAGUCAAAAGUUGUUUGACAAAUGUUGCUUUUUUUUCAAAAUCUUUUUUAUGUUAAAGUGUUUGAUAAUAUUUUUUUAUACCAAGUUUUUAUGUUUUAUACCAAAUAAAGUGUUUGAUAAUAUUUUCAAAUAAAAUGAAUUAAUUUUAAGAAAGUUCAUAUUUUAUUAUGCAUUAAUAUUACAACAAAUAAUUAUUUUUUAAAUGAAACAAAAAUUUAGAAAUGAGAAAUCAGAAUGUAAAUUAUAUUAAAAGGCCUGAAUAAUAACUCUUAUUUCUUUAAAAAAAACAUUGAUUAAGUAUAUAAAUAAUGAACCUUUAAAUUUACAUCAUAAUAUUUUUUUUUAAAAGUUAUAAUCAAAUGCUAGUAAUAUCAUUAGAAAAUAUUAUUUAAAUACUAAUAUACCAUUUCCAGAAAAAGUACCACGAUGCCAAAGAAAACCAAUUUUUUAAAUAAACAAAUUAAAUUAAUUAACAAAAAAAUACGGUAAAAUAAAUAAAUACAUCAAUUGAAGAGCACAUGACUUGGUAAACAAAAUUGAGUUUAAGAACACAUGACGUCAACAAAACCACUUUAACAGAAAAAUUGCUCUCAAAAUAAACGAAACAUAAAAUUCAUGCUCAUUGGAAUUCUAAGGGUGGGGCAGGGAAAAUAAGUUGUGCGUACCUGGUAGAAGUAAGUCUCAUCACCUUAUUUCAAAAGUCAUAUUUUCUUAUUUUUCUUCUUUAUAAAAAAGUCACUUUUUAAUUGAAGAGCUUAAUAUAAAUGUUGUUUGGCCCUGCUUUUACUUUGGAGUAGAAGAUAAGUCAAUAAAAAGCAGGCCAAAGAGAACCUAAGUCUUCUUCUAUCUUUUCUUUAAUAGUUCUAUGUACCAAGAACAUCAAUUUUACCUUUCAUUUCACAAUCAAUUCACAAUUAUCAUUUUAUUCCAUUAUCAAUUUUAGGAACCAUUACAGAAAAUGCUUAUUCAUUGUCAUGCUUAGGUCAUCAAAUGCUUAACAUGGCUCCCUAGUGCAAAUGGCAGCGAGGAAUCUCCUUGAAAACGAGCAACACCACCCUGCCUCGUGGCCAGCAUGGGUUUGGGGCAGAGAAGAACCAAUACCAAGAACAAAUUUACUAGUUUGAACAAUGUGUUCAUAUAUUAGCAUUAGCUGGAUAUAGAAUCAAACACACACCAUGUAUCUUUCUUUCUAAGCUCACCUCUGAACUUUCAUGUAUAUAUUUUGUAUCAGAUGUGUUUGUGCUUAAAGACAAAGGAUAUAAGCUUAUCAAAUUCUAAUUCUCAGUCAAAUUACAAAAUAAUAGUUAUUAAUCAAUAAAAGACUACUCAUCCAAAAUUUUAUGUAAUUUAAGCUUUACUCAUUACAAAUAGGUGAGGUUUACUGUGUAUAACCAUCAAUUUGUCCACUUAUAAUUAAACAUAUAGCAGAUAUCUUCUGCACAAUUACAGCAAAAAACAUCCUUAAUUUUGCAUCUCAGCCAAGAUCAAAUUACAGUGUCAGUAAAAUUGAUUAAUUAUAAACAAUCACAACCCACAAAGGAGGAAUCCAACUAUAUUUUAUGAGAAAAUGUAUUCCGUCUUUGAUACCCCUAGAUCAAUCAUUCAAAACAGAGAGAAACCCAAUUCUACAAGCAAUUUUCAUGUCAAAUAUCAUUAACUCCAUUUCUUACACAAAAGACAUCAACAGAUCCCAUUAGUUCAUUACAACUCAGAAAAUUAAAACACUAAGAAACCAAUAAACAUAAUCGAAAUGUCUAAGAGCUAGUAAACUUAGUCACAGCCUUGGUGCCUUCAGAAACAGCAUGCUUGGCCAAUUCUCCAGGAAGAACAAGUCUGACCGCGGUCUGAAUUUCCCUUGAAGUGAUUGUUGGCUUCUUGUUGUAACGAGCAAGUCUGGAUGAUUCUUGAGCAAGCUUCUCGAAGAUAUCAUUGAUGAAACUGUUCAUGAUACCCAUCGCUUUGCUUGAGAUACCAAUGUCUGGGUGAACUUGUUUCAGAACUUUGAAGAUGUAGAUCUUGUAUGUUUCUACAUUCUUCUUACUUCUCUUCUUCUUCUUGUCUCCUGCUGCAGAACCACCUUCCUUUGGUAGCUUCUUUCCUGCCUUGGGCUUCUUCUCCGCCGGAGCCUUCUCGGCGACGGUGGACUUCUUCUCCUCAGCGGGUUUCUUCUCCGCUGGCUUCUUCUCUCCCUUUGGUGCCAUUGAAAGGAUUAAGAAAAAAAGUUAGGGUUUGAGAUUGGAUUGCGAAAUGAGAGUAAUUAAGAGAAGGGUGUGGAUGGAAUGGAAACUGAUUGAUGCAGUGGUUUAUAUAUAAGAAGGUUCUCGUGUUUCUAUUGGUUACUGUAGUUUACCGCGGAUCGAUGAUAUGGAACUUUUUAGACGGUCGAUUUUGGUUUGAUCAACGACAAUGCGGACGCUUUGGGAGAUGAAUGCCUGAGAUGCGUUUUUACUUUUUGCCUUCAAUUUCGAGUGGGUUAGUUACUUUUCUUUGCGCGCCCAAACCGAAAGGGUAUUUCGCGGUUUAGUUUUGAAACAGUGGUUUUUAAUUCUGCGAAAACCUUUCAUUAACUUUUCCCUUUUGAAUUUUUGAGGUAUUUUUAUAUAUUUUCUGUAAUUCUAUAGUAUAAAAAAAUCUUUUUAUAUGACAAAAAUCCGUUUUAUUAAAUCAAAUUUAUUUAUUUGAUCAAAAUAAAAAUAAAUAAAAAAUUUGAUAGAUAGGCAUGACACAACCUAUUGUACAUCAAGUCAGACUAGGUCAUAUUUUUUUCUUCUUCUUCACAUAUAAUGUCAAAACUUUUUUACAAGUUUAUGACAUCAUACAGACAUUUAUAUGAAAGUCGAGGAACAAAACUAUCUUUGAAGCUGAUUCAUAAAGGCCAAACAACCCAACUUUAUUGAUUUAGAGUUUCGUCAAAUAUAUUGAAAAUUGCAAAUUAGAGCAUCCUCAAAGUGGUCCAAAGUGGAAGGGCAUUAUCUACAUAUGAUGGAAGCAGUCACAAGAAGGUUGGAUCAAGUUCAACAGUGAGAUCUUUGGAUGUGUGGGUAUUUUUUGUGAUUGAAACAUUAGAUAGAUUAAAUGCUACACUAAGAAGAUAUGUGUGUGAUGCCUUACAUCCUGAGACGUGGUGGUUGUAUUUGGGAUCAAGCCUGACCUAGAGCGAGCAUUUUUCUCAUUGUAUAGUGGAGAGCGACUUAGAGAUUUUGAUUGACAUAAUUUCUGACAAUUUCAAUGGAGUUAUCCUUAUUGCAGAUUAGUGUAACUAGAAGCUUCUGAAGAUGAGGUGACAUGCAAAUCAACCAUACUUUGCGCGAAAGAAAUAAAAGUGUUGAUUGACUUGCAAACAUUUGUAUUACUGAUAAUCAUUUAACUUUGCUUGUUUUAAAUAUUUCUUGCAAGUGAGCUUUAGAAGCUCUUGUUUAAUGAUAUUUCUAUGGUUUAUAUCCCUAUAAAUGUCUCUUUAAUCUAGUUUUUUUUUUCUUUAUUUUCUUUCUUGGAUUGAUUAAAUAUGUUUUUAAUGCCUGCAAAAUUACAAGUCAUCAAUUUUAGUCCCUACAAAAAAUAUAUUCACUUUUAUUCUUUAUUUGCAUUUAUAUAUGAACUAUUUUGGAGGACUAAAAGUAUAUAUUUUUUGUAAUUUUUUUUUAUAAAACAUGAACUAUUCUUACAAACUACAAUAUUAUGGAGGACUACCAUUAAAAUUUUACAGGGAUUAAAAACAUAUUUAACUUGGAUUAUAGCCUUAAAAAAUUAAAUAAAAAUAAAUGCUUAAUUGCAUUUUUGACCCUCCUAUUUUCAUCCUUUUGCGGAAUUGGUUCCUAUAUUAUAAAAUUAGACCGUUUUGAUUACUCCAUCAUAUUUUUUAACUAAAAAAGAUGAUGUGAUAGGUUUUAAAAAGAUGAUGUUAUGAUAUUAAGAUGAGAAAAUAUUACUCCCUCCAUUUCUUUUUAAGUGUCGUUUAAGGAUGAACCAGUUUUAGUUAGAGAGAUCAAAAGUAGAUAGAGGGAUCAAAAGUAUCCAAAACCAAAACUGUCUAAUUUUAAAUAUGAGAACCAGUUUUACAAAACGGUGAAAUAGGAAGACAAAACUGCAAGGCAAAAACAAAAAAGAAAGACAGAGAGAAACAUGGAUCAUGUAGACGAUGUGUAGGUCAGAAAGCACAAUGGAGAAGGAAAUAGAAACAUUCCUCAGAAAACUUUCCUUAGUCGCCAUAGCCAUAGCUUCACUAACACUCCUCAUUCUCUUCCUCCAAAUCCCCAACACCCGCGUCCCAUCAGAAGCACCAUCCAAACCCCACCUCCGCUUCCCCAAAUCCACCUGCGACUUCACCUCCACCCACCUCCACCUCCCCUCCCACAAGAAAAACAACCGUCUCUGGUCCUCACGCGAUUGGAACAACAAACUCCAUUCCUUCUCCCGUCUCUUCCUCCAUAUUCGCAAUCUCGGUCUUCUUCCUAAGUCCUAACCAUACCAAAAUCCUAUGCAUUUCCACUGGUGCAGGUCAUGAAGUCUCUGCAUUACAGAAACUUGGCGUCGAGGAAGUUACUGGCGUCGAGCUCUUAGACUCUCCUCCUCUUGUUAGCCGGGAAGAUCUGCAUAAUUUGCCUUUUUUUACAAUGCUUUUGAUUUUGCUUUUACUGCAAGAUUUGAUGAGGCAUUGUUUCCGGCGAGAUUUGUGGCUAAGAUGGAGAGGGUUGUUAGGGCUGGUGGUGUUUGUUUUGUUCUUGUUGGGGAAUGUGGGGCUAAUGAGGUGAGAGAGGUUGUGGGUUUGUUUAGGAAUUCAAGAUUUGUUAGCUCUAGUAAUGUUAGUUUGGUUGGAAUUAGAAUGACUAGUAUUCUCUUGAGAAUUAGAAAAUUUUCCUAAUUCAUGCUUAUUUAUAAUUUAUUUGUGUAUGUAUAUUUGUUCUUGUUAGAUUUGUUUCUAAUUUAUUAGUUGUUACUAUAUAUUGUUGAAAAUUCUACCUUCCUUGCAGUCCACCACCUAGCAGUCUAAUUGCAGCAUUUGCAUUGCCUUCAUUGUUGCCUCUAACACCUUUAUUGUGUUGGGUGUGAAGAGGGGGAUUUAAUAUGUCAAUGCUAAGGGGCUUUAGAUUAUAAAGCACAAACAUAGGAAUCAGAUAUGACAAUAACACCAGACAACGGUCAUAUGAGAAAAUGAAAGUAAUUGGAAUAACUCAAUAUGCCGGUGUUGUAUCGGUGGUGUUGUCAAUGACACAUGUUAUAUGACACACCCUGCAUUUGGUUAUGUUUCGCAGCAUCUUCUGAAUCAAAUGUCUACGACACUUGAAAUUGUUAGAAAAGUUCUACCGUAUGAAUGAGUGUUAUUGGACUGAGUUAAAAUUAUGAUUUUUUUUUUUUAUAUAUAGAAUCUUGGGAAUAUGGAAGUCUUGUGUGCGAGUGAAAGUAUUGGAGUUGUCCUCUUUUUGUGGAGGUAGGUUUGGUCUAAUUUGCAAGAUGGUCAGUAUCAGUGUUACUGCUAUUAGGGUGUUUCACUUUGAACAUACAUUAGGAUAUUUUUAUUGCUAUGAUUUUUAAUUCAUCCUUCAUAGUUGAUAGUUUUAUUUGUAGGCUUGUUGCAUACGAAAGAUUGGUUCAUUUAGACAUUAAAUAAAUUAUCCUAACCCAUUUGGUUUUUGAGCUGCACUUAAGGUUCCUGUUCUUAAUCAUUUUAUGAGCCUUUGGUGUAACCUUUUGGUUCAUGUUAGUGACGGCUCCUUUAAUUUGAUGGAAUUUUGUUAUGGUAUCUGCUAAAGGUAUGUUUGGUUCCACGUUAUGUGAGAGUUUCUUGGGUCCCUAUGUAUAUUCAACGUGAAUUUAGAGAAAUUAGAGAUUGUAAGUUUAACCGCUGUGCUCUCAGACCCGGACGGGCUAAGACAGUGUAAGACAUUCUCUUUACAUGCAUAUCAUAUUACAAUACACUGUAAUAAAAUUAUGAUUUAAUCAAAUAUAUUUUCAAUUUUAGCAUGUUCUAGUUGCAAAUCACACUAAAUAGCCAAUACCAAGCUAUAACCAAAUGUCAUGAAUAUUUAAACAAUGUGGUAUGAACGUGGAGGUGGAAACAUAUUUAGAAACAUUCAGUUGCUACUUAUUUGUAAUUAGAAAAGUGUCAUGCAUUUCACCCAAAAAAAGUAGAAAAGUUUCGUACAUUAUAUCAAUUGAUAGACAAUAUGAAUGAAUCGUCCUUGAGCAUUUCAACAAGGUUGAUAUGGUGAUGGCUGCUUCAUAAUGGCAAGGGCGAGUAAAAUAUCAUUUGAAUGAUCCAGAAAUAAUUGUUCCAUUUGUCUUACAGAAGCUUGACAGGAAGUGGUUUUCGUUUGAUUCAAAUCCACUUGCAAAGAGUAUGGAUCGACAGUUUACUGCGACACCUCAAAGAUAAGUUGAAUUUUUAUUUUUUUUCUAGUUAUAACCAAAUGUUGGACAUCAAACACACCUUCAAUCUGAUGUGUUGGUGAGGUUAUAGAAUGCAUCUCGCAUGUGGUACAGCUGUAAUUUAAAUUUUGGUGAUUUUCACUGCAGCAUCGUCUAAAUAAAUGUCUGACAAGUGAUAUUGUUAGAAAAGUUCUGCUGUAUGAUUUGAGUAUUAUGACUGAGUUAAGCUUCUGCUGUUUUUUUUAAAUAUAGAAUAUUAGACAUAUGGGAAACUGUGGUGUUUGUGUGGAAGUUUUGUAGUUGUUAAUGUUCUUGAGGAGGUAGGUUAGAUGAAAACUUGCAACAUGAUCUGGAUCUAUGCUAUGCCAUCAACUGAUGAGAUUCUAUGAGCCAUUGCUGCUUUUGAUUGAGUUUUUUAAUUUAGUUUUACAUUAAGAUAUGUUAUUUUCGUUCGCGUUUUCAACUUAUAAGAAUGAUAAUUGUGUGAUAUUUUGAUACCCUAUGCAAUUAGUGUAGUAACUUAUAGAUCAUUUCAUGUUGGACUGGGAGUGUUGAUAUUGAUUUGUAAUGUGUUUAUGUAGUAAUUUUGAUUUUUUUUUGUAACGUGUUUAUGUUAGAAUAGAAAUCUGGUUGCGAUGAAGGAUUGCACCAAAAGUCAGGAAAAUCUGGUUUGGAUUUAGACUGGGAAUAAGAUCUGAUCACUGGGAUUAAAGACUGGUUAAUUAAUCCACAUGAUUAACACAGUUGAUAAGGAAAAUCUCAUCUAUUUAGCAUCCAUAUCCUAUAAUAUAUGGUUUGCCAGAAAUCUUCACCUAUUUGAGUUGAAUUUAACCAAGCAACUUCAGUUACUCGUCAAACAGACACCAGCAGUACCACUAGUAGCAUGAGAUCUACUUGCAUGCAUAACAACAAAAACUGGAGAAAACCUAAUUCUUGAAGGUUCAAAGUAAAUAGUGAUGUUAAUCUCAGUCAAGUAGGUACCUGGGGUGUAGGAUCGGUGAUACGAAACGAAGAUGGUGAAGUGUUAGCAGCUGCAACCUGGACUGUCAAGGGCUUCGAUGAUUUCACAGUUGCGGAGGUAUAUGCGAGGUAUAAAACUGUCAAGUUUGCAGCUGAAUGUUGUUUCAGGAAAAUAAUUCUGGAAUCUGACUGUGAGAAAUUGGUUUAGAUUCUAAAGGAAGAGGUAGAGACUCCUAGGAAUUAUGUUGGUAGUUUUGUAAAUGGUAUCAGCAAAAUCUUCACUAUUUUGAAGAGUGUAGGUUUAGUCAUAUCAAUAGAAUAGGCAAAGGCAAUACAGUGGCCUAUAAGCUGGCCCAUUAUGCCCUUUCAGAGCCUAAUAGAGUUUCUAAUAGAGUUUGGCUAGAGGAAACUCCAAAUUGUAUUGUUCCUGAAGUUUUAAAUGAUAUUCUACACUAUUAGCAUACAACCACAUUUUGAGGGUGUGUAAUAUUAAUAUGCUUAUUUUUGCAAUCAAACAAAAUGUGUAGAACAGUAGAAGUAAACAAUUACAAAGUUAUUCUGUUGUAUGUUGUUGAUCUACUUGUAAUCGACAUGUGGAGUAUUUACUAGUUUGAAUAAUGUGUUGAUAUAUAGCCUCGUCCUUGUGCCGGAUAUAGAAUGAAACACAGCAUGUCAUUUUCUCUCUAGACAAGCAAUAUCUAGACACCCUCGUCAUAAGCACGCAAUAUCUAGGACAAGCAAAUAGAGCCCAAAGCAAAUAAAGGAAUCUUCUUUAAUAAAUCAUUUGAAAACAGAGUGAUUCUGAAUCUUGAAAAAAGGUUACCAAAUAACACCAUACAAACAUUGUUGAAUUCCAAUAUCAUUAAUUCCACCAUUAUCAUACACAAAAGGAUCAACCAGAUCCCAUUACUUUGUUGCAAAUUCAAAAGAGAAAACAUACUGCCAAUUCUUCACAAGAUACGCGAAGGAGAACAAUGUACUACAAAUACUCUUUACAAAUACGCUAGGUUUGCUCUUUAUGUGUAUAAACAUCAGUCUUGUUCACCUCAAGCAGAAGAUAGGCAAGUCUUGUUCACUUAUAAUCAACAAAAGGCAGAAUUCUUCACAAGAAUUACAUCAAACAAUCUAAAUUUUCUGGACAGGAUUACCUACUGUAAAACACAUGUAGUUUUGCAUCUCCACUAGUUCAAACUUCAAAUUACAGACUCAGUAAAAUUAAUUAAUCAUAAACAAUCAAUGCACACAAGUAUUCUGCAUCACUAGAGCACUAAACACAACUUUUUGCCAAGUUAUAGAAAGAAAUAAAAUACGAAUAAUUCUUCAUAUUUUUUUGGCACAGUUUAGUAACAGAUUACAACAAACACAAUGCAGAUUUUGUACACAUAAAUCAUUAAAAUAACAAUAGCACGAGUCUUGUAUCUGUAACCCAAUUGUACCACACAAGCAAGUAAAAUAUCAUUAAUUCAACCACUUUAAUACACAAAAGAAUCAACAAGAUCCCAUUAGCAUUACAACUUAGAAAAGUAAAAUACUAAAAAUUUAAAAAACCUAAUGGUUCAUGUCUAAACACCAAAACUACCACAACAAAGUUUCAAGUCUAAGAGCUAGUAAACUUAGUCACAGCCUUGGUACCCUCAGAAACAGCAUGCUUGGCCAAUUCACCAGGAAGAACAAGUCUGACUGCAGUCUGAAUUUCCCUUGAAGUGAUUGUUGGCUUCUUGUUGUAACGAGCAAGUCUGGAUGAUUCUUGAGCAAGCUUCUCGAAGAUAUCAUUGAUGAAACUGUUCAUGAUACCCAUGGCCUUGCUUGAGAUACCAAUGUCUGGGUGAACCUGCUUCAGAACUUUGAAGAUGUAGAUCUUGUAUGUUUCAACAUUCUUCUUGCUUCUCUUCUUCUUGUCUCCGGCAGCUGAACCACCUUCCUUUGGUAGCUUCUUCCCUGCCUUUGGCUUCUUCUCUGCUGGAGCUUUCUCGGCAACGGUGGACUUCUUCUCCUCAGCUGGUUUCUUCUCCGCUGGCUUCUUCUCUCCCUUUGGUGCCAUUGAGAAUUUGGAAGUUGGAAGAAAGUUAGGGUUUUGAAUUGGGAAUUGAAAAUUAAACGAUUGCAGAAGAAAAGUAGACGGUGAUGAAAAACGAUUGAUGCGGUUUGACUAAUAUAUAAGAUAGCUCUCGCAUUUCUAUUGGCUAGUGAAGGUUGCCGUGGAUCGAUGACGUGGAACUUUUUUAUCCGUUAGAAGGAGAUAGUGAUGGACGCUCAGGAUUUUGUUUUGACACAACGAUGAUACGGAUAUAUAUAUGAGCUGGUUGAAACGUGUUUUCUAUUCUUUUUUCCCCUAAUUUCCAAUGGGUGUGGGAUUUAUCUACUCCCACUUUUAUUUCCUUGUUUUCGCGGUUUACUUUUGAAAGAGUUUUUUAUGUUUAAAGAAGCCAAGCAAAACUCCACUAUUAAGAAAACAGUGAUUUUAAUUUUGCGAAAAUCUUUGUUGUACAAUUUUUUUAGGGUUUUACUUUUAUAUUUUUCGGUAAUUAUGUUAUAUAUAGUAUAGUUUUUUUUGACAAGAUAUAUAUAGUAGGUGCCCACUAAUAUGAACCCUAUUUUUUCAGGUCCAUCGAUGGUCCUCUUCAUGUGACUGUCUAUAGCAGGUGACAUGCGGUCCCUUUCAAAUUUUAAGUUGUGUAAUUUAGUAAAUUAAUUUAUUCAUUGUUUUUCUCAUCCAUUUUUCGAGUUUACCAUUUAAUCGAUGUCUUGUUGGAGAUAUAUCAUACAAUGAAAUAGGCAUCAUAUAUGUCUUCUUAAUUCCAAUCCAGAUCACUAAAACUCCACUUCUAAAUGGGUAUAAUCAAAAUGAAAAGAGAACCUAAUUUCUCAACAAGGAAAAACAAAAGGUGAAAGCUUUCAAUUUUAGACUGAACAUAACUCAAUAAAAAAACAAAACUCAGUUAAAUUGCUAAAAAAAAUGAAUGACUUUUUUGCUAACUAGAAAGUGACUGGCUAUACUCAGUCAUGUAAAGAGGAUCAUGGGUGGACCAAAAAAUAUGAGGUCCAUAUUAGGGGUUACCUAUAUAGUAUAGUUAAAAUUCAGGUUUUUGCUAGAUUACCCUCUCUUAUUUAGAGGGUAUUUUACCCUCUCAUGAUAUCAACCAAUCAAAAUGUAAUAUACAUUGACAACAUUAAAUGUCAUAAAUGAUUCAAUUUUUUUUUUUCUAAAAAAAGAAACAAUUAUAAUCAUAAGGUAACUUAUAAUACUUUUAAUUUUUAUUUAAUUAUAGACAUGAUUACAUUAGAGAUCUUUUAUCUUAUUUAUUUAUUACAUUUGGGUCCUUUAUCUUUAUUUUUUUUCGCUUAGGUCUUUUUUUUUUUUUUUUGGUCUUAGAUGAAGUGGUAAUCCACUGAAAAUAAACUCACACACAACUGUAAAGUCCCGGGUUCGAACCCGGGUCACAACGUCCGGCCUUGCAAUUUUGGCAUUUGCCAGUUGAGCUAGGACAUAUACAUCCUUUUUCUCAUUUUUUUAUAUUAAAAAAAUACAUAAUUUUAUUUUUUAAAAUAUCUUUUUAUUAAAAAUGAAACAAAUCCAGAAAUAUGAUGAAGAUGUUCAUCAUCUUCAUCUUCUUCCUUUGAAUCUUCAUCAUCUUAUCAAAAAAAUUUCUACAAAAUAUAUCUCCAAAUAUCAUGAAUUAAUGUUAUAUUCACCUCAAAUCUUAUUUUAAACACAAAAAUCAAACCCCUAUAGAGAAAGAGAUUAGUUUCAUCACAAAAAAAAAUUAGUUAUAUAAAUUGUCACGCUGUAUAUUAUUAUUAUUAUUAUUUUCUAACUCAAUAUUCAAGUCCGACAUAAAAUUAACCCCAAAAUUGAUAGCAACUUUGCACAUCAAUUUUGUUGUUUCCAGAACAAUCUUAACUUUCAUAAAGCCUAACCCUUCUGCCAGUGACUAAGCCUCCACCAUCCGCCUUGCAACAUUUGUGAAAUUAAGGUUUUGAUUUUUGUGUUUAAAAUAAGAUUUGAGGUGAAUAUAACAUUAAUUCACGAUAUUUGGAGAUAUAUUUUAGUAUAAUUUUUAUUUAUUUAAAGAAGAUGAUGAAGAUUCAAAGGAAGAAGAUGAUGAACAUCUUCAUCAUAUUUUUGGAUUUUUUUUUCAGUUUUAAUAAAAAUAUAUUUUUAAAAAUAAAAUUAUGUAUUUUUUAAUAAAAAAAAUGCGAAAAAGAUGUAUAUGUGCUUUUAAGAGAGAUAAAUGACCUAAACGGGAAAAAAUAAAGACAAAGGACUAAAGUGUUACAAAUAAAUAAGAUAAAGGACCCAUAAUGCAAUAUUGCCUUAAUUAUAUCUAGGUGUUCAAUCUUAAUUAAUUUACAGUACAUGACUUGCUUAGAACAAUUAAAAUUUCACAUCAAAUUUCUUUCAUCUGAAUGUCCUUAAAUUUAUCAGUUAUAUUCAUAAAAUUUAUUCCUCCCAUUUUGAUUGUUCAAUUUUGUCGUUCCCAACUGCCGCAUUUUUCAAUUUUCGUGAGAAUCGUCAUGAUUUCAAAUAUCGUGAGAAUUGCUGUUAUUUUCAGUACAACGUUAGGUAUGAUGACUUGAUUUUUCUUUUUGAUUUGAUUUUUCUUGGUUGUGAGGUAGUUAAUUAUAACAAUUGAGUAAAUCAUCCGUUGUACUUUGAGGACUGCUAGCAGGUGUUGCCGCUGUGAUGUUGUGGGAGUUUGCUAGCAUUUUUUUGGUUGCUGUUGAAAUGGUUAUGUGAUGAGGCUUUUGUUCUUUUAUUUGGACUUAAAGGCUUUUGCUGAUAGUGAGACAGGUCUAUGCGUGUUAACAAAUUUUAUUAGGUUGGCUGCUUAAAUAAAAAAAAAAUAAGUCACGAUACCUGACGCGGUUCUAGAAACAACGAUAAUUCUCAUGAUAAUUGGAAAUUGCGGCAAUUUGGAACGACAAAAUUGAACAAUCAAAAUGGGAAGAAGAAUGAAAAAGAAACAAAAAUUGAUCAAUAUGGAAGAAUAAAGAAGAAGAAAUUUGAAAGAAGGAGAUGUUUUUGUUCUCACGUUGGGGGUUCUGGAAUGGAAGAAAUUUUAUGAAUGUAAAUGAUGAAUUUAAGGACAUCGAGAUGAAAGAAAUUUGAUGUAAAAUUUUAUUUAUUAUAAGUCUUGUAGUGUAAAUUAAUUAAGAUUGAACACCUUAAUAUAAAAAAAAAAAUCAUUUGUUGUUUCAAAAAAAAAAUUAAAUAAAAAUUAAAAGUAUUAAAAGUUACCUUAUGAUUAAGAUUAACUCUCCUUCAAAAAAAAAAAUUAAGAUUAACUCUUUUAUUUUUAGAAAAAAAUCUACUCAUUUAUUUGACAUUUAAUGUUACAUAUGUAUAUUACAUUUUGAUUGGUUGAUAUCAUGAGAUGGUAAAUUACCCUCUAAACAAGAGAGGGUAACGUAGGCCUCACCUAAAAUUCACUUUAUUGAAUAAAUAAAAUAAUAAAAUUAUCGAACAACUUAGUUAGGGGUCCAUAACCACAACUUUUAAAAAGAUAGGGGUCCAAAAGUGCAAUUAAGAAAAAAAAACACUGUCACAAGCCAUUUUUGCCAAAUCAUCCACAGAAAAUUUGCUUCUCUCUAAGAAUAUUGUACUUAGAACUUCCCAAUCCUGCUCCAUUUAAUGUCUAAUGUUUUGCACUAUACUCCGACCUGCCACACCGUCCCUCAUUUACUAGCCGAAAGCGUAGAACCACUAGCAACUCAAAAUGAAGCUCGAUCUUAUGGAAACCAGCCAAAUUCAAACCUUCAAAAACUAUCCAAAGUUCCGCCACUUACGCGCUACUUAACCACAAUCUCUCCAAAAAGACACAGAUCCAUUUGCUAUUCUCCCCAUGCAACACUCCCUCCUUUAUAUGUGCCACCGUGAUCAAACGGAUCCAGCCAUGCCAGUCGAUAUUUUCCAAAAUUGUCAUUUGUAAUUGUAGUGUUUUGCAUGGAAGCAGUUUUAGCACCAGCCACGAGACAAUUAACAAGCCUGUUAAUUUCCAGUCAAGGAUUACUAGGUGACACAAAAUCCUCAUCAUGCAUCGUUCUGUUCCUCCAAUUCCACAACGUAUGACAUGUCGUCUCCCAAAAGCCAGUCCGAUUUCAGACCUCCCGCUCACUCAACGCCGUAUCCAUACUCAUCUCCAACCAUUGCUGCAAAUCUGCGUUGAAAAGUUCCUUAUGAUAUCUAGAAUUAACGGUCUUAAGCAAACAACCAUUGAUAUGGGACAAUCGCGAAGAACAUGCAAUGUCGUUUCGAUAGUAUCUAUUCAGUGUAUGCAGUUCUGAGAUGCAUGACUUGCAAUCUGCUAUUACUUAACCGUCUAUCUUGUUUGCGCAACCACACAAACGUACUCUCUCUCGGGCAUUAUUUUUCAACACCCCCAUCCAAUAGCUGAAAAUUGGUUCAACUAAAUCACCACAUAACUCUUUAUAAGCUUGAGCAACUGAGAAAUCACCAACACGCGUACCAGGCCCUACGCACAAACAUCGCUACCAUAAUCAAUAUUUGGUGGUGGGAUGGCUCUAAAUCUGUCCAGAAUUUCAACAGGGAGCUACCCUUGCAAAUUAUUCAUUCUCCACUCCCCGUGCUCACUGACAAGCUCUUCAACUUUAACAUAUUACAUGCCAAUUGGGAUAUUAAUAUCAAGGUUGAUCACUUUUAAUCUCUAAUCUAACCAACAAUACUUCUCAGCUUGAACUGAUCCACCAUUUCAAUUUUCAAAUAAUCCAAUGCGCCAAGCUACUAACAUUAGUUAUAAUUUCACUUUAUCUUUCCACAAACUAGAAUCAUUGUUUUUGCUACAACCUCAACCAAUAACAAAUUUUCACUAUCAUACUUUCUUCUUUAGAUUCUACAACAUAGAGCAUUAUCACCAGUUUUCUAUAAUAUUUGUGAUAAUUUGUUUUCAACAGAAUGUUACAAGUAGCAUCCAUAAUUCUCUGCAAUAAUUUGGUCACUGAACUGCAGAGUAUUCCAUAACACUAGAGUAGGAGAAACAGGUCUCAAGCUUUUUCAAAAAUGUAAACUAGUACACAUUGGCAAAUGAACUUUAAGGUAUAAAUCUCUUCUACUAAAUUCCUAUCAUAAUAUUAAGAUCUUAAAAUGCUAAAAACUAAUGGCUUCUUCUCUCCUUUUGGUGUCAUUGAAUGGAUUGGAAUUUUUUCAAUUAAGCUAUAUCAGCAACUUUUCGAUUCUAUAUACUUUUUUGUAUUUUAAUGAAAAACUUUAGUGGCACAAUAAUCCUAAUAACCAUCCUCCUAAUGCAGUGUUUAGAAUUGCGGUGGACAGGCCAUCAAUGAUGUCUAGGCUGAAGCAAGAAUUUCUAGCUUUGUAAAGUCACGUUGAAGUGGCAUUGUGACGCUAGAAUUCAAUUGCAAACGCCAAACCAAACAAUUAUUAAAUCAUUGAGACUGCAAUAGUAUACCACCAGCUCAUGUGACAUAAAGUCUGUCAAACAUCUAUUUUUCUACCUUUUUUCACUGCAAAACAAGUUGUUCUUUCCUUCUUUUUUUCUAGAGUUGUUGCCAACCGUAUUAUUCCCCUCACUUGAAACUUUCAUUAUUUGUUAAUUUUUACAACUUAAGUUCUCAACAACUUCACUUGGAAGUUCACUUUUUUUUCUUUCUUGCUAGCUUGGAUUUCUCGUUGUGGCUACUGAAACUGUUGAGCUUGCAUCUGAUCAUGCUUCUACAGCUCAUGAGGUUCGUUCGUAUUAACUGUUUUCACGUUCAAAGUUCUUGUGAUCUUAAACAUGUACCAAUUGCAUCUAGUUUUAAUUUUAAUCACAAGUUAUUUUGAACUUGGAUACAUGUAUUUUGAAAUCGUAGUAACCACUACCUGCGAGACAACAUGAAGCUCAAUCUUAUGGAAACCAUGCGGUCGAGCCAAAUUCAAACCUUCAAAAAUUCCCAAAAGUUCCGCCACAUACGCACUACACACCCCCAAUCUUUUCGAAAAGAUACAGAUCCAUUUGCCAUUCUUCCCACGUGACACUCCUCUGCAUCCAGCAAGACUCCCUCCUUUAUAUGUGCCAUCAGUGUUAAAAUGGAUCCAACUACUUUCAGGGGCCUAACACUUGAUACUUUCCAAAACAGUCAUUAUAUGGUGGUGUUAUGCUCAGAAGCAGUUUUAGCCCUAACUGCAUAACAAUUAACUUGCCAAGGAUUACUAGGCGACACAAUAUCCUCAUCAUGCAUCAUUUUGUUCCUUCAAUUCCACAAAGUAUGACAUGUCAUUGUCUAAAAACCAGUCCAAUCCAAAGCUUCCUCCUAACUCAAUACCAUAUGCAUCCAUAAUCAACCCCGUUAAGCCACCAUUGCUAAGGGACAAUCGCAAAGAACAUGCGAUGUUGUUUUGAUAGUAAUUAUACACUUGUGACAGUUUGCAGUUCACAGAUACAUGAUCUGCAAUCUGCUAUUAGUAAAGAGUUUAUCGUGUUUGAGCAACCACGCAAACUUAUUCCCUUUGGGGCAUUAAAAUUACACACUCGCACCCAAUAGCUGGAAACAGGUUUAAUUAAACCACCACAUAACUGUUUACAAGCUUGACUGCUUGAGCAACUGAGAAAUCUCCAAAACUCACACCAGGCUAUGCAGAAACAUCACCACCCUUGCAAAUCAUUCACAAGUUCUGCAACUUUUAUGAAUUCGCAUAACAAUAGUUAUAAUAAUAUCAUGAUCAAUCACACUUUUAAUCCCUCAUCCAACCAACAAUGCUCCCAAAUAAUCCAAUUUGCCAAGCUACUUAAGAUUAUACACCAUAAUUACACCAAUUUUUUCCCUAAACUAGAAUCAUUCAAUUUUGCUAAACCCUCAUCUAAUAACAAACUUUCCUCUAGAGAUUCUACAAAGAGCAUUAUCACCAGUUUUUUAUCAUAUUGGUGACAAUUUGUUUUCAACAGAAUGUUACACGGAACAAUAAUUCUCCACAAUACCCGCAUAUCUCCACUUCACUCCACAAUUCCCUAAACUAACGAACAAGUAACAAUUAGCCAAUGAGCUUUUAAAGUAUAAAUCUCAUUUACUAAAUUACUAUCAUAAUAUUAAAAUCUUGAAAUGCAAUAAGAUUCAAGUUUAUAAUAUUGAAAUUGAAUAAAUUUCAUUGAUAGAUAAAAGUCCUAAAGGAGAAAUGCAAUAAGAUGGAGUUACAUUGCAUUAUAUGAAAGCACUAAAACCGAUUUCUAUGACAUAAAGUAACCCUAGUCUUAGAUAUAAACACAAUCAUCUAAAGAUUGAAAACAGAUCAGAUCUAAGCCUUCUUUGGAGACUUUCCAGCCUUCUUUGGCUCCUUAGAAACAGAAUUUUCAAUCUUCUUAGGCAAAAGGAUAGGGUUAAUGUUUGGAAGAACACCACCAUGAGCAAUGGUAACACCAUUAAGCAAUUUACCAAGAUCUUCAUCAUUCCUAACAGCCAACAACACAUGCCUUGGAAUGAUUCUAUUCUUCUUGUUAUCACGUGCUGCAUUUCCAGCCAACUCAAGAACCUCAGCAGCGAGAUAUUCAAGAACUGCUGCUAGGUAUACUGGAGCACCUGUGCCUACACGCUGAGCGUAUCUUCCUUUCUUCAAGUAUCUACCGAUUCUUCCAACCGGAAAUUGAAGACCAGCUCUGAUGGAUCUUGUCACCGACUUCUUCCUUGGUCCUCCUCCCUUCCUUCCUCCUGCUCCCUUCUUUGUUGUCUUGGUGCUUGCCUCCAUUUCAAACUGAGAAAAAUUUUGAGAGAAAAAGAAAAUUUGAAUGCGGAGAAGAAGGAAUGUUUUGGUUUGAGAAAUUGAAGAAUGAAUUCAGAGUGUUGCAAUGUGAUUUAUAUAGGAAAGAGUUUUCGUGUUUCUAUUGGCUAAUGAGGUCCGUCGCGGAUCGGUGACGUGGAAUUGUUUUAUCCGUUACAUGGACUGAGAGAUAGACGAUCAGGAUCGUGUUUUGACUCAAGUAUGACGCGGAUCGAUGAGCUGGAUAAAACGUAUCUGAAGACGAUGUGGAAGAGAUGCAUUCUCUUCUCCCUCUCUAUUUUUCAUUGCGCACACAAAUAAAAAUCAGGACUAUAAUUUUGAUUUUUGUUUUUAGUUAAAAAAAAAAGUCAUUAUCUGUAUAUAUUUCUUUUUGCUUUUUUUUUUUUUUUUUUUAUUGUGUUAACGCAGGUAAAUUAUGAAUAAUAUUUUAUGUAAAACUUUGAUUUUGAUUAAAAUUAUAAAUAUAGGUAUUUAUGACUUUUAAAUUGUAACAAACUCAACAAAUCAUAUUUAUCAUUUUCAAUGACAAAUAUAAUAUAAAUUCUUGUGUACAAGAUUGAAGGGGGUAUUUUGGUAAUUAACAUUCAAAAGAAAUUUUAAUCAACAAUACCCAAACAAUAUUUCUAUGGUGGAGUUUAGCAAGGGAAUGGAGAGUUGUUUUCCACCAUGAGAAAGUUUUUUUCAACCAUUAGAUUAAAGAGGAGUAUUAAUUUUAUCAUGGAUUGCCUACACCAUAUUUUUUCCUUUAUCUUUUACACUUUUUUUUGUUCAGAUCUGGAAUUUUUUUCUUUGAUAAUCCGGUAAUCAUACUCUUGCGCUCUAUCAAUUUCAACAUUGAUUUCAUUAUGUUUAUAUGUUUUUUCUAUUGCUCUAUUACGUAUAAGGCAAAAAAAACUCAAGAUCUGGAAUAUUCUCAUACAAUAGGGUCACCAAUAUUCUCAUGGACAUGAACAUUCUUGUUCAUAUUCUCAAAGGGUAGUUGAAUUUCUAUUGCUGCAUUUUCAUUUCUUCUCCUUCUUCUUCUUUUUGUGGUACUUGAAACCUUUGUUUCAUUGUUGUUUGUGAUGUUUUGAACUACAUAGUUAUGUGUUUCUAAUGAAGUUUUGCACAUGAUUGUAGUAACAUUGUUGCGUGUUAAUAAACAAAAUGAUCCAAAUGAUGAUGAUGAAGCUAGUUUGGAUUUUGAUGGGAUUCUAUCACAGAAGAAGCAAGUUGAUGAUCCAAAUGAUGGUUAAGUAUAUAAGCAUGGAAAGAAAAAAAAUACAGAUCUGAACAAAAAAAAAGUAAAAGACAAAGGAAAAAAUAUGGUGUAGGCAGUCCAUGAUAAAAUUAAUACUCAUUCUUAAUCUAAUGGUUGAAAAAAACUUUCCCAUGGUGGGAAACAACUCUCCAUUCCCAUACUAAAUGCCACCUAUUUCUAUACAUGAAUCACUUUUGCAAUACAUGUAUCACAACAUUGUAAGAAUUGAAAUCGUUAAAAAAAAAUAUUUAUAUAAUUUUCCAUUAACUAAUUGUCUAAGUGUAUAGAUUAAACUCAUGCAAAUGAGAAAACACAAAAAUAGAGUAUGGGGUCAUUCACUAUUUAGUCUAGUAACAUACACAAUUGCGACUAUAAUCAUCCAAGAGCUGAUUAUUGAAAGAAGCACAAAAGAUGCUAGAACAGAGAUUCGAUUUGGUCCUCAUAAUUUAAUAGCAUCCCAAAAUAAUCGUUGAAAAAAAUAUCUAAAUUAGUCUCUGAUAUUUUCAUAUCAGAAUAAAUUAGUCCAUGUGAUUUUAACUAAUUAUAAUAGAGAGAAUAAUCUAUAUUCACAAUCACAUGGAAAGAAUGUGUUUGGUCAAAGCAAUUGUGUCUCACACGCCAUAUGUUAGCAAUAAGCUCUAGAGAACGAGUCAGGUUUAAACAUCCUCCAAUGAGUUAUCAUCCGGUAAAACACGUAAAUAACAUAUGUAAUGAAAAUACAAGAGUCUUUGAAUCAACAAUCUAUCGACUCACACUCUGGAAACAAAGUGAAAGCAUAAACAAAGAACACAACAAUAUAUAUAAAUCAUCAUCUCGUACAAAGAUCUUCAAUAAAUCAAGAUCGACAAUUGAAGAAACAUAACAAUCAUCUGCAGAUUGGCCCUUAGUAAAAUAAAACGUAAUUUUUUUUGUGUAGCUAAAUUUUAUUAAAAAAAAUUAGAAUCAGAAGAACUUCUAAACAUGAAAGGAAUUAAAAAAAAUUAAGUGAAAGAGGUGAAAUUUAUCUAACGGCGUUGUUUGGAUUUGUCACUCCUCUGUUGUGGAAAAGGGUAAAACGAAUGGUUUAUGCGAAGAAAAAAAUGAUUGUUGUGAUUCUUUCAAUGAAAUAGCUUUCCAAAUUGACUGAUUAAGUGAUUAUACAAAUUAGAGGUGGUUUGAUAGGAUCCGAUUUAUGUACAAAAAGGAGAACUAGAGUCUAGAAAAAAACUCAAACGUAUACUAAAGAAAGAAAAGUAUAUAACAUAUAUAUAUUUAAGUAGGGGGUGGGUAUUAGAUUUAAUUUUUCGUUAGAGGCCCGUAGUAUUUCGAGGUCCAGCCUAGUUGAGCACCUUGCAUCCUCAAGGUCGGGCCUGAUCAUCUUGUACGAAUUUAAGAAAAUAAAGCAAGAUCAACAACCCAUAUUGAAAGAAACGUCUAAUAUAUGAGCAUUUAACAGAACAACUGCAAAAUCAAUCAACCGUAUGGCAUUAACACAAGACAUAGAGAUUGAUCAACUAAAGUUGAAAUGUUUAAUCUCCAUCGAGUAUAAUUAAUACAAAAAAUCAUGAGAAGACAACUUUCACAUGUCCCUUUGGUGUGUUUAGUUAUAGGAGAAUUCCCUUCAACAAGGGUAAUAAUCCUAAAACUUUCGAGAGAUGUAUGCAAGUAAUCUUCAAAAAUUUAGUUAAAAAUGAAUCUAGAAUUUCAUGGAUGAUUUCUCAGUGUUUGAGGAAUCCUUUGAUGGUUGUUUGAAAAACAUAGAAAUUGUACUAAAAUGGUGAGUUGAAACAAAUUUUGUUCUCAACCGGGAAAAAUGUCACUUCAUGGUGGCAAAAGGUAUUGUUCUACGACACAAGAUUUCUUCCAAAGGCAUUGAAGUGGAUAAUUAUAUAUACUACUAGAAAAGCCUAUUAGACCUAUCAGGCCGAUCCAUAUAUGUGUAAUUAUAUAUAUUACGUUAUAUAAUACACGUGUAUUAGCCUCUACAAAAUACAUUAUAUAAUACACGCGUAUUAACCUCUACAAAAUGGAUGUGCUAGCUCUACAAAAUUUUAUUGGAUAUACAUGCAAUAUAUAUGUUAAUAAAGUGGGGGAAAUGGAUGUACAUGCUUUACAAAAUUUUAUUUACCAUUUAGCCUUUAAAAAAAUAUAUAUGUUUAUUAGCCUUUUUAUAAUAGGUCAAAUGUUAUAUUUAAAAUUGUUAGCACAUUAUUUCAAAAAAAAAAAAAAAUGUUAGUACAAAUUAGGCUUUUAGAUAGGCUAAUAGGUCAGGUUUGACUUUUAAAAAGGCAAAGUGAGGUUUAAAAUAAAGCCUUUGACAUGCUAAUAGAUCAGACUUAGACUUUAGUUUUUUCAACUAGGCCUGACCUAUUUAAACAAAGUCCGUCUUGGCCCGGCCAAUUCUCACCCUUAAUACUCAUAAACCAGUCAAUGUACACCAUACAAACAUUUUAGAAGUCAUAUACUCAUAACCGAUUCAACCAUUUUAAUACACAAAAAGGAUUGAUUACUUCAUUUUUAAAUUAUAAUAAUCAACACAACACAAACCUAAGACCAAUUUGGGUUGGUAUGAUGGUGUUAGAUUGCAAGCUUGAAUUAUACUCCUCUCAAUGUCUCAGAUUUGAUUAUCUCCAUCCAUAAAUUUUGACAUUAGUUUGGUCAUUAAACUACAGGUAGAAAUACUAAUAGUGUAGCAGUGUAUAACUUACAAUGCAAGUAAUAUGUGUUUUUACAAUGCAAGUAAUCUAACUUGAAUUAAAAACUAGCAUCCUCCCUUAAUUCAAGUUCUCUAGCUUCACCAUUCCAAUCAUGCAUCUUAACUUGACAAAUCUGUCAAUCUUUUCAUCUUUUGUAAGCACAUCAGAUAGUUGUUCCUCAAUGGGACAAUGUAUGACCUUAAGCAUUUAUUUAUUCACUUGUUCUCUGAUAAAGUGAAAUAUUGCCUCUAUGUGUUUACUUCUGACAUGCAACACUUGGUUUUUAGCUAAAUCUAUAGCAUAUUGUUAUCAACGAGCAACGCAGUAAGCUUGCAAACUUCUAUCUUCAGUUCUCUUAACACAUAAUCCAACCAUAUUGUUUGACAUGCAGCUAAGCAACCUACUUUAUACUCAUAUUCACCGGUUGAAAUAGUAACCACCGGAUGUUUCUUAGCACCCAUGAUAUUGGAACAUCAAGGAACUUAAACAAGUAUCCGGAAAGUGCUUUUCUAUCUUGCUAAUCUCCACACCAAUAUGCGUCAUAAUAAGCAAUUAGGUUCAUAGUAGCUCGACUGGAAUUUGCAGGAAAAAAUAUGCCAUAAUCUAGAGUUCCCUUGAUGCAUCUCAUCAUUGUUUUAGCUGCAAGCAAGUGAGAGCUUCUAGGUUCACUCAUGAACCUGCUGAUUAUACCAACAUCAUAGACUAUAUAUGGCCUGCUAUAACAAUGACAAGUGUGAAUUAUCAUAAAUAUCAAGGGCAUAUUUUCAAUGUUAUUUUGUGUAAGAAAUUAUUAUAUUUAAAAUUGAUGAUACCAUAUUAAAUAUGUAUGGCAAUAUGAAAGUAAUUGAUCCUUUCAAAAAAAUGAUCUUGAUAUUGUAAAUAAUUCAGGUUAUCAGGUAUGUUUUAUAUUAUUACAAGUUGAUAAGUGUUCAUGGAGGAAAGUGAUAAAAAAUAUUAGUGAUUUUUUGUUCAUUAUUUAUUUUCUAUUGUGAUAUUUAUUUGAAUUUAUUAUGGAAUGUAUUUACACAUUAAACUUAAAUUUAACACAUAAUUUAUGAUGCAUGUAUUAGUUAUUUGAUAAAUAAGUUGAAAAUAUUUGUGUUAUAUUUGAUUUUAUAUUGAGUACAUGACUUAUCAAAAUAACUAAUAGCAUUAUGAUAUAAAUAUUGGUUAUGACAAAUCUUCAUGAUCAGGUUUGUUCUUUCUAUAUAUAAUUGAUUGUCAACGGUGGAUAUUCAACCCGCACUUUAAUAGUAUCAACUCUUGGGUUCAAUGGAGAAAGUACAAUACCUAAAUUAUUAAGUCUUGUGACAUGGUCGGUAUCACUGGUGUCAAUGAUCCAAGGAAUAUGAAUAAAAUACUUGAAUUAUCAUGAUGUCGAGUAGACGACUCAAUAACAUUGGACCGAUAUUGUGGUUUAUAACCCGGAGGAAAGUCGUGCUUGAAAUAACAAUGCUUAAUAGUGCGACCAAGUCUAGAAUAGAAAGUGCAUUAUUUUUUAUGACCGUGACUUCCUGCAUGAGAUCUGCCACAACCUCACGGGUAAAAAAUGUCUCUACCAUAUGUAGGUAUUUCUUUUACAUUAUACAAGACUGUAGGCUAAAAGGAUGAAGUACUGGCCAAAUGAUCUUUUUGCUUAAUAAUAAGGGAGAAAAUCUCACAAAUUGAAGGCAAAGGUUUCAUGAGCAAGAUUUGAGAUCUGGCUAUGCUAUAAUCAACAUAUAACCCUUUCAGAAAACGGAUGACAUACUCAAUCUCGCAUUGGUUGCGCAUAAUUCUAAAGGCAUCACAAUUGCAUCUAACAUUGCAAGAUUGGAUAGGGAUUGAACGCAAAUUCUCUAAAUUUUCACAAACAAUUUUUGUGUCGGUGAAAAACUCAUUAACAUAUCAUUCUCCUUGUUUCAUGGAGUGAAUUUCUUGAAGGAGAUCAAAAAGUUUGAAAUGAGUAAAUUUGGUAAAUUGGUGACACAGGUUGUCCCACAAAACUUUAGCAUUGUCAAUGUACACGACACUCUGUGGAGAAAGUGUGCGAGUAAUCCAUGACACGACCAUGCUAUUACAACACUCUAGAUAAUUAAAUAUGGGGUCGUCUUCCUUUCGUGCAAGUAAAUUGCCAUUUAUGAACUUGAUCUUGUUCUUUGAUAUGAGGAACAUUUCAUAUUGCGGCUCCAUGAAUGGUAAUUUGUGUUAUUUAAUUAAGGUGAAACCAAAACUUGGCCUAUAUUUCAGCAGGAUGAAGAUAACAUGGAGAUUGAGUAAAAUCAUUGACAGGUUGGUUUCAAAGUGGAGAAGUCAGAAUGAAUCAGUGAUGAUUUCACAUCAUAUUCAGCAGAAGAAUUAUCCAUGUCAUCGAGACUUUAGGGUCAACGACGAGAGAAUAAAAAAAAUCGGGAAAACCAGAAUAUGUUCUAAUACCAUAUUUGAAAUGUAAAAGUAUUCUCUUUGGGAAAAUUGCUUGAGAAGAAAUUACAGAGAGUGGUCAAAAUUAACUCUGUAAUAAAACUAUUAAUGGCAAAUCUACUCGAAUAAAAACUAUUAACUUGCUAAUAAAAACUAAGUUGACCUCUAAUUUUAUAGGUGUGAGUUAAUCUCCUAACAAACUUUGACACCAGACAAUCCUGGUUGGGGCAUUCAUUUUUCAUCUAUAUAUAAAACGAGAAUCAUACAUUAAUUAAAUCCAUUUUCUUCUACAAUAAAGCUUAUUAUUACUUUCUCUUGCAUACAAAAAUGUCCAAAGUCAUGACCUUAGCGCUGCUCAUGCUCCUAGUUGAUACUCUUCCUACCAUGGCGCUUUCUGAAGAGGUUAAGAAUCUUCCCACCACUUACUCUCCAACCCAUGUUCACCUGACAUUGCCUUCCACUCGUAGAAGCAUGCAAGGGGUCUUCAAUGUUGUUAGUGAAGGUGCAGAUAGGAUUGGUGAAACUGCAAAAGAUGUUGGAAAUAUCGCGAAUCAAGGACAAGAUGUUGUAGAUGCCGCUGAGAAAAUUUCUCAUGCCAUCUCGUCUUACAUUCCUUCCAGUUAUAUUAUAAUAGUUAUACUAGUUAAUGUACUUUAUGUAUGAGGAGGAUAAUUUGAUUUGUUGAUGUGGGUCUAGUGGAAAUGAAGAUGCAAUGUUAAGUGUUCAUUUUCUUGGAUUGUUUGUUUAUAUGGGAUGGCUCCAAAGAAAACUAUUAAAUCAGGGGUUGUUAAAUUAUCAUAACACCCAUUUAAGUUUUUAACUAUAUUAACUAUUUCUUUACUGACUUAUUUCUAAACACUCAAUUAGGGGCUGGAAAACAUACAUAUAUGAUGGGAGUAUAAACCAACCCUCUCCUCUCAUUUUGUCUAAAAAACUCUCCUCUCAAAAAAUAAACAAAUUAUCCCUCUUGAAUGAUAAACUUGUAAAAAAAAACUCAAUUAUCAACAAAUUUAAUAUUUCUAUCAACUUUCUUAAUUAAUUAUAUUUUUAAGUUAGCUAAUUAUUUUAAAAGGUUAAUUUAUAUGUAAUGACGGUGUAAAUCUAUUUUGCACAUGUAUCCAGUUAAAUAACACCCUAGUGCCACUUUUUUUAGUCAAUUUCAUAAAACAUCUCCAUAAAUAUGUACUUGGUAUUAUUUUAUUUGAUUCAUGUGUAAAGUAGUUCUAUAUUGCCACUAUAUAUAAAUUAAUUUUUUUUAGAUCUUUUUUAAGAAAUAAAAAAUAUGAUGUGAAUAUAGUUUAUCCAAAACACACACAUUAUAUAUACCAGCGAAAAGACGCCCACGUUUCCGCUCUUUUUACUGCGCUAAAAUUUGAAAAUUAUAAACUAUGUUUUUUUUUUUUUUUUUUUUUUUAUGAAAUUUUAAUUUUGAUUAAAACUAAAAAUAUAAAUGUUUGUUGCUUUCUAUAGUUAUAACAAACCAGAUUAAACAUGAUUAUCUAUUUCAAUAACAUCAACUACAAUCUUUAUUAUAGAAAAAAUUGUUUAAGGGUAUAAUUGAGAUAAUAAAAAAGUAAGUAUAAAUAUACUCAUUUAGCUUGUUACACUUUUUAAAUGAUGAAGAAAAAAAAUCAGACAUAUGUAUAUCCAUAUCGUGUUUGUUAUAUAUAGUACCUGUAAGUCCAAGAUGUUGCAAGCAUUAGUAGAUGAAUUACUAUUGAUCAUUAAUUAGUAAUCAACAAUUUAAAAAUGCAUCAAACAUUAAAAUUAAAAUUAACUUUUUCAAAAAAGUCAGUUUCAUGACUGCACUGUAGAAGCUCCCUUGUAAUAUUUAAAUUUAUUCUUAUCUAUUUAUGACAUGUGUUAUUUGUAUUGAAAAUUGAGGGCAUUUUUUGAAAGAAAAAUUCAGCCCAAAAGUGUUGAAAUGGGUAGUUUUCUCUAUUUUUGGAAAGAAAAAGUUAGUCAAAAAAUGCUAAAAGGGGUAGUUUUCUUUAUAUGUAGUAUAGAAAAAUUAAACAUGAUUAUCUAUUUCAAUGACGCCAACAACAUCUUUAUUAUAGAAAAAGUUGUUUAAGAGUAUAAUUGGGAUAAUAAAAAAGUAAAUAUAAAUAUACUCAUUUAGUUUGUUACACUUUUUAAAUGAUGAAGAAGAAAAAGAAUCAGACAUAUGUAUAUCAAUAUCGUGUUUGUUACAUUUUUUUAAUAUUUAAAUUUAUUCAUAUCUAUUUGUUACAUGUGUUUGUAUUGAAAAUUGAAGGCAUUUUUUGAAGAAAAAAAAGUCUGCCCAAAAGUGUUGAAAGUAGUAGUUUUCUUUAUAGGCUUAAUUGCACUUUUGCCCCCUAUUUUUUUGUCAAUUGUGCAAUUCUGCACCCCAUCUUUUUAAAUGAACAAUUUUGCACCCUCUCUUUUGCCCCCUUUCGAUUUGAUGACCCCUCAUAUGUUUCAGUGUUGAUAUGUCUCAUUUUGAUGACGUGUCUUCAAUUAAUGAAGUCCAUGUGUGUAAAUCGAAUUUUAAAAAAAUAAAAAAUUAAAUAAAUUAUUUAAAAGAAAGGGAGUCACGUGACCCUUCAAAUCAGAAUCCCUAGUUUCCCACCACAACCCCCAAAUCAGAAUCCCUAAUUCUCUAAGACUUCUCAUCUUCUCCCAUAGCUUCUCAUCGCAAAUCUCAAUCUGCUCUUCUGCACCCAAACGAAACCAUAAUCAUCUAAACCAUUUCAACCCGUUUUCAUUUCUCUAAACGAAACCAGAAACUUUUGUUCGCAAAAUAUAUUUUCCCAGCAUCUUCACCCUCCUAUCUACGAAGUCCAAUAGUGUGAACUAUGCGUGAGCUAGCUACAAAUUUCUUCUUUAAGGUUGCAAAGAAGUAAAGGUAUUUUCCAUGAUAUGAAUGGAAAGCUCCAAACUCUUCCCAAAUCUCCCAUGGAUUCUUUGUGGUACUGAACAAAUUGUAUUCAAGAAAUGUGACAUGAUUUCUUAUUGGAAGAAGAGUUGAGGACCAUUGUUUCAAAAUAAGAAAUCUGGUGAAAUAAAAUUUUAGAAUCGUAAAAGCCAUGGGAGAAAAUCAGAUGUCAUAGAUAAUUAGGGAUUUCUGAUUUGGGGGUGCGGUGGGAAAUUUGUGAGGGUUAAUGAGAAAGGGCACACGUGACCUCUGCCCUUGAAACUAAUUAUUUAAAUAUUUUUAUUAAAAAAAAUCAAUUUACACACAUGGACUUCAUUAAUUGAAGAUACCUCAUUAAAAUGGGACACAUCAGCACUGAAAUACAUAAGGGGCCAUCAAAUCAGAAAGGGGCAAAAAAGAGGGUGCAAAAUCGCUCACUUAAAAAGAAAGGAUGCACAAUCGCACAAUUGACAAAAGAUAAGAGGCAGAAGUGCAAUUAAGCAUUCUUUAUAUAUAGUAUGUGUGUGUGUACUGAAGAUGUAUCAAAAUCUCUUCAUCUCUUUCCAUGUUCUCUUUCAAAAUAGCUUUCCUGCUACCUCUCCAAAACUCCAUGGAAUACAAUACAUCCUCCUUUAACGAAGCUUUUAAACCGUCAAUUUAAAAAGCAAACAAUUUUUGUCAAUAUUUGACUGAUCCGUGCAAAUUCAAGGACGAAUUUGAUGAUUUACUCGUUCUUAUACUUUUUAAAAACAAAAAUUGUUGGAUACCAACAAUAUUAAGCAAACAAAACUAACCCCAGAAACCCCGAAGAAUAGAAUGAGAUUAAGCUUGUGAAAAAAAAAUGUGGAAACUGAUUUAACCUAAAAAACCCAUAAAAAAAUAGAACAAAAUUAAAACCUAGAAGAACAUAAUGAGAUUCAACCAGUUCUAGAGUUAAAGAAAUAAAGGGUCUUUAAUUAAUCAAAAGUUUUAUAGUUAUUUUGUAAGAUAACUAUUAUUAUGUUUGCGGGUAUCCCAGCUUGUUGGGAGAAAUUGCAGGGAAGAACCAAGAAGUAGGAAUGCGUAAUCAUGUGUGAGAGAGAGAGAGAACGAGAGGAGAAAAUGGUAAUCAUGAAGGAGGCACAUAGAAAAAAUAAAGAAAAUAAACAGGAACGUGAAUGUGUGGAGAAAAUGCCAUUGAGGGAGAUGAAGAUUAAGGGAUAGAGUGUGACUCAAUUUGUAGUGACUAAUUAAAUGCUAACCGUUGAUGUGUAUCUGAUGGUUAUUAAUGAUUCCUCUCAUCUCUCACAUUAACUUCUUCACUCAUUUGAUAUAUUCUCUACGUGUGUGUAUCUAUAUAUCUUACUAUUUUAUUUUGACAAAAUUUGUGACAAUGUUACUGCAUAUGUGUUCCACGAAUUUCUAUUAUUGGCAUGACCAUAUAUUAGUGUAUGAUGAUUGGUUUUGAAUAGUGAACGAAAGAGGGAGGCACCCAAGCCUACCCCCUCCCUGCAUCUGCCCCUAAGGUGAUGUGAAGGAUGUAUGUGGAUGUUAUGGCCUAAACCCCUAAAAAGGAACGAACCUAAAGUUAGGCCACCCUAACUUGUUCUUAAAGUAAACUUCUUGCAAAUUACUAGGAAUGGUGUGCCAGACAGUGAAAGCAGUUAAGGAAAGACCAAUGUUAACUAAACCAUCUGCACAAUGGCUGUAACGCCCUAGCUAUUUAUUUAAUUAUUUUACUAUGUAGAGUAUAUAUAUAUUAUUAUAUAUGAUGUUUGGUGAUUUAUGCGGAGUAUGUAUAUGCAUAUAUUGUCAUAUAUGUGAUUUUUGGGUGAUUUAUGUAGUAUAUUAUUUUAUUAUAUGGUUUAUUUAAUAAUAAUUAGAAUAAGUAUGAAAUAAUAAUUAUUUUGGUGUUUGGGGAAUUAAUAGAAUUUAUUUGAAAUUAAAAGGAAUUAAGUGUAAUAAUGGGGAGUUGAGAAGGCAGUUAAGAUAGAAAGUUAGAGUCAGAAACACUUUUACGUGAAACUGACAGUUUUUGGGAGAAAGGAGGGAAGAGCAAGAGAGAACCAAGAGUUGAUCAUUGCUGUGCAUUUCUUCUUCAAUUUCUAAGGUAAGGGUGAGGUUUACUUCAAUAGUGUAGACUUUAAAUUCUGAUUUUGAGUUUAACAGGUUUUGGUGAAAAUUGGGGAUUUUGGGUUUUAUGUUGAAAUUGUGGAUUUUGGAGUUGUGAGUGUAAAUUUGAUGUUAGAAAUAGGUUCUAAGUACAUACAGAAAGUUAAUUUGUAUCUGUAAACUGAUUUGGGGAGUGAUUGGAAGAAAAAUGGGAUUUUGGGGAAAAACCAGUUUUCUGCCCGUACUGAUGUUCAUCGCUCGCCUCGCGAGCAUUCAUGUCUCGCCUCGCGAGUGAACAACAUCAUCACUCGCCUCGCGAGCAGUCCAACUCGCCAUGGCGAGUAACCCAUAAUAAAACUUGAUUUUUGAAAAGUUGUUAUAAGAUGUUUUGGGGAUGGUUUAAGGUACCUAGAUGAUAAUAAAGAGGAAUGGUGAAAGUUUUAGGUUAAAAAGAUGAAUAGGGAGCUUAGAAUUGGAGUUUGAGUGAGAAAAUGUCACUUUUUCCCGAGAGUACCUGAUUUUCACUCGCCUCGAGUUCGCCUUGAACUCGCCAUGGCGAGCUAGUGUUUUUGUGAACUCGCCAUGGCGAGCAGAUGUGCUCGCGAGGCGAGUUGCACAGUUCCUGAGUGCUAACUUGCUUGUAUGAUUAGUAGUGGUUUGAGGUUGUUGGAUUUGAGCAUAGUUAUAUUUAAUUGUGCAUUAUUAUAGAUUGAUGAAUUGCUGGUUGUUGUUAUUGCUGAUGGCUAUGAUGUAUGAUUUAUUUAUUGAACCACACAUGUUGUAUUAAUUGGAGUCACAUGGAGUUGCAUUGCAUGGUCAGUUGUAUGUAGAUAUACACAAGUAGGUCCAUUGCAUAUGCAUAAAACAGCGGUGAGGGCUUCGGUCCUGGAGUACUAGUUGCUCAACAGCGGUGAGGGCUUCGGUCCUGAUGAAUGCUUUAACCAUUCAAAAGCGGUGAGGGCUUCGGUCCUGAUUGGUACCACAUGCAUAUUGCAUUUCAUUAAGAAGUCUAAGAUGGUGUCUUAGCAGCGGUCAUGUCAUUUGCAUGAGUCUUGGUUGUUGUUUUCAGUUAUUAUCUGAUGGAUGAUGUUGGUGUUGAAUAUGUGUUUAUAAAUGUAUAUAUAUAUUCAUUGUGAUUAUGGUGUAUUGUUGAUGUUGUUGUUGCUUGUGACUUAUACAUAUAUAUGUUUACAAGAUUUUGUGUUGUUGAUUAGGGUGUUAGAUUCAAUUGAUGAUUUUAAUAUCUAUAUUUAUUGUUGUGAAUCUCACCCCUUCUACUUGAAAAUGUUGCCCUUCCUAUGGGUAACUUGCAGGUGAUCCUGAGUAGUAGGUGGUGGCUCAAGAGUCGUGUUUAGGGCUCUGAUACGUGGGAUGGGAAUUAUUAUAUUAUAUUAUUGUUGUUUUCCUUUCCAUGUAUCGAAUUUUGGAACUUGUUGAUGUGGCCCUUUGUUGGUCGACUUAUUGUUGUUUAGGCUUAACGCCAAGAUGUUAUUGGAGACUUAAACCGUUGUUGUUGUUAUUGAAAUGCAAAACUUUCCGCUGCAUGAUUUUGAAGUUAUGAAUGAUGUUGAAUUAAAUAGUUUUAUUUUCUAUUUAAGAAUUUUGAAAUGACGUGUAGCAUGCCCGUUUGUGGAAUUACUCUGAUGUAUAUAUGCUGAGUUAUUGUUUUUGGGUAACGGGGUGUUACAAUGGCUACCCUCUUUGAAAACAUGAGAUACAAUGAAAUUCAUAGAACUUAGCAUGUUCCUUAAAUUACAAGGCACCUGAGAGUUUUUGUUUAGAACAUGUACCGCCAUUGCAUAAUCAAGCUCAAGCCAAAGAUGAUGCCAAUCCUUUUGAUGAGUAAUCUCAAUUGCUCUCAAAGCUCCACAUAAUUCAGCCUGAAAAGCAUUACCUUCUAAGUUUUCAGCAAAGCACAAGAUCAUGUCAAUUAAGAAUUUGUAUCGAUAAUCUUGAAAAUUGAUCCGUAGUAUAUUAGUAAGAUUGACAACCCAAAAUUCUUUCUCCGUUCUUGGCAGUACUAAUUGCUUAUUUCUUAAUUAUCGUUAAUGAAAUUUAAGCAUGAAACCUAGGAUUUUCUAAUUCUCCCCUUUGGGAACGCCACAAUUUUAACUAGGUUGACUUGUAGAAUAUGUUGCCACAAUGUUAAUGGAGUUUAGAAACUAGUUUCUUAAAUCAUCAGUAGACACCACAUAACUAUUGUUUUACUAAGUUAAUUCCAACAAAUACGGAAUGGGGGAUUCAAGGAUUCCCUAAUCGCCGUUAAAUCUCUGAAUCACAAACCUUACCACAAUUUUUGGAGAAAGUGUGUGAGUAAUCCACGACACGAUCAUGCUAUUAUAAUGCUCCCAAUAAUCAAAUGUGGGGUCGUCCUUCUAUUGCAGGUAACUUACCAUUGAUGAACUUGGUCUUUUUCUUAGGUAUGAGCGCACAUUUCAUGUUACGACACCAUGAAUGUUAAUAGGUUUUUUCUAGAUUACCUUUGAAGAAUGGUGGGUAAUUUACCCACCAACCAAUGAAAAUGAGCAAUUUGUUGGUGGGGUCAAGAUAGUUCAUGGAUACCACUUAAAAAUGUGUUUAUGUGGCUAAUGUGUAUUGGUUGGGGUAAAUUACUCACCAUUCUUCCAUGGGUACCCUAGUUGUCACCAUGUUAAUUUGUUUUAUUCAGUUGAGGUGAAAUCAAAUCAGAGCCUAGAUUUUCAGUAGGAUGAAGAUAAUUAGGAGAUUGAGUAAAAUCAUUGAUAUGUUGGUUUCGAAGCGGAGAAGCAGGAAACGACGAUGAUUCUACAUCAAAUUUAGAAGAAGAAGAAUCAUCAUGGAGUCAAGAAUUUAGUUCAACGGUGAUAGAAUAAAGAAAAAUUGGGAAAAAUACAUAAUAUGUUCUAAUACCAUAUUAGAAAUGUAAAAAUAUUCUCAUUGAGAAAAUUACUUGAGAAGAAAUUACAGAUGGUGGUCAAAAUUAACUAUGUAAUACAACUAUUAAUGGUCUAAUUAACUAUAAUAAAAACUAAGGUUCGUCUAACAUGUGCAAUAUUGCAUGUGCAAUAUUGCAUAUAUUAUAUAGCAACUAAAUGUAGUAACUUUUUAUUGAAAAACAACAAUAAUUUAUUAAAAGGCAACAUAUUUAUAUAAAAUGAACAAGUUUCAAAACAAAGUUACUAUUUUAAAAUUCUCAACAUGUGCAAAUUUGCACAUAAUAGAAAAACCCUAAAAACUAUAUUAACUUGCUAAUAAAAACAAAGUUGACUUCUAAUUUUAUAGAUGUGAGUUAAUCUAACAAACUUUGACAGCAGAGAAUCAUGGUUGGCGUCCAUUCAUUUUUCUUCUAUAUAUAAAGCAAGAAUUAGACAUUCAUUACUCACAUCCAUUUUUCUUCAAUAAUAAAGCUUAUUUUUACUUUCUCUUGCAUAAGAAAAAUGUCAAAAGUCAUGGCCUUAGCAUUACUCAUGCUCCUAGUUGAGACAAUUCCCACUACGGUGCUUUCUAAAGAGGUUGAGACUCUUCCCACGACUUACUCUUCUACCCAUCUUCACCUGACAUUGCCUUCCACUCGUAGAAGCGUAGAAGGGGUCCUAGGCGCUGUUGAGGAAGGUGCAAAUAAGGUUGAGCAAGGUGCAAAUAAUGUUGGGGCAGCUGCAGAAGAUAUCGGAGAAAUCGCAAAACAAGAUGUCGUAGAUGUUGCUGGGAAAGUUUCCCAUGCCACCUCUUUUUACAUUCCUUCCAGUUAUAUUAUAACAGUUAUACUGGUUUAUGUAGUUUAUGUAUAAGGAUAAUAAAUUUGGAUAAUGAACAAUUUUCCAUUGUAAUGGGUUUGGUUAUAUCUCUUUUGGUCAUAUCUCCUUAUUCCCAUGUCAAAGACAUGUUCUUUUUUGGGAGUUUUUUUUUUUUUUUUCCAUAAAAAAUUCAUGGUGAGAAACCUCUUUUAAUUCUUCAAGCAGUUGGUCUCUUAAACGAAUGGAGAAUUUUUCUUUGGGAAAGAUAAGAUCAAUAGUAAGAACCCCUUAAAUAUUCUUACAAUCAACGGUCUCAAAGGAACCCGUUUAAUUUUUAGAGUUUUUUUUUCUUCAUUAAAGAUUUAUGAGUCUUUGGUUUUUUCUUCACAAAAAAUUAAUGGGUCUGUUAAAUUAAUCAAGAAGAACGAAGAGGCAUGAUGAACUGGGAAAAUGAAAUUGACUGGACUACAUAAACCAACUCACUGCUCUAAAAAAAAAAAACCAAUCAUCUUUCUUGAAUGAUAAACUUAUAAAAAUAAACUCAAAUAUCAGUAAAUUUAAUAUUCCUACCAACUUUUUUGAUUAAUUAUUUUUAGAGUUAAAUAAGUUUUUGAUCCUUGUAAAUGUAAUAAAUUUUGUUUUUAGUCCCCAUAAAAAAAAUUACAUGUUUUGGUAUCUAUAAAAAAAUUCAGCACAUAAUUUUAAUUUUUGUUAAAUUAAAAUUUGUUUGAUUAUGCAUAAAUUUUUGAAUGAUUUUAUACAUACAUGUUAAGAACAUCAUAGGAAUUAGUAAAAAUAAAAUUUUGAUUACAAAAAAUAAAAAGAAAGACAGUAUUGAUAAUAAGAAUUAGAAAACAACUCAGAGGAUAAAACAUAAGCAAAAUCAAAUUUUGAUUACAAAAUUGAAAACAAUGAUCAAAAGGCUGAUUUAUACAAUCUAAUAUGCUCAUUUUAAGGGGAAGAAUAAAAACAGCUUUUUAAACAUACAAAUCUUCACCAUUGCAUAAAAAUAACCAAAGAAUAUAUUUCAAAAAUAGAAAAUCACAAACCUGCGAAGAGUUUCGUUAAUCUGAAAGAUUUCAAGCAAGCUUUGUUAACCUAAUAACAACAAAAUUGAAAAUGAAUGAAACAAUUUCAACGAAAAGUAGAGCAAAUAAAGAGAAGAAGAAGAAGAUUAAUCGUGAACCUAUAGAAAUCAUAGAGAGAGAGAGAGAGAAAUCGAGAUAGUGAGAGAGUUGAGAAAGAGAGUGUUUUGCUCAGGGGUAUAAUAGUAAUUUCAUCCCAAAAUUAAUGAGAUGUCCGAGCCCACUGUAACCAAGACUUACCUUCAACACCCAAAAAAACAACAACUACUAAAACCCCACUUCACCACCUAAAUCAAACUCCAUCAUAAAACGACCACUGAAACAACGAAAUCCAUAAACCCUCUUCCCUCUCGCUGCUCACCCAAAAUUACACUCCUCUAAAUCAAAUAACCCCUUCUCAUCACCUUAGCUGAGGCACACCUGAAAGGGUCCUAUUCCAACACGUAGGCGUCCACCACACCACUACAACCACCACACACUACCACGCAAAAACUAGUCACAUAGUGUGGGAAACGAGUAAAUUAAAAUGCUUUCAGACUUCUCACUUCAUCUGAAUAGAAAGUUAAAGUGAAGAUUUUCAAAUUGUACAUAGUGUUAUAUAGCUAACUACUCUAACCAACUGUAAAAAAAAUAUAUCACUACUGAAUUAACAACAUAUUGCAACUGAUAAAAUCUUUAGUAAAUAAUGUAGUGAAGUCAUGAUAUUGAAUUUUAGAACAUAACAUGAUAGUAUUCCAUUUUGUUUGUCUGCUAAACACUAACUCUGUCAUUUGCAUGUAAAUGAACCAGUAAUGAUUCCACAUGUGGUACAUUUAUAUGCCAAAUCAAUUUUUUGUUGAUGUGUUAAUGCUUGAAAAGUUUAACGGUUAAAUUUAAGUUGGUUUUGACACCAACAUUUUGUGAUGUCAUGCACCAGGAAUCCCAAAUCAGAAACCAACUUAACAUGACAUGCUUGACCCCGGUAGAAGACCUACGUUCUCACCUUUGCGGUUUAUAGACAAGGGUCUUGUUAACCGGUGCCAUAGGAUAUUGGUUAAGGAAUUUAUGAAUAUAAAUUUUAUUUUGGAAAUAUAAGGUGUUACUUUUAACCAAAUAAUUAUUUCAUCAUUUUUUUGUGAAAACUUCCUUGUUUCUAAAGACUUUGCAUUCCCCUAUAAACAAAUAUCUCUUAGAACAAUACUGAUCAUCGUAUAUAUUAUUCUGGCAUGAUCAAAAGAAUCAGUACUUCAUUGCUCUGCACAUAAAAAAUUAAGUGACAUUAGCAAUAGUAUGGUUAUAAAAAUUGCACAAUUAAUAUAGGGUAACUGCAAUAUUAUUCAGCAUAUGUACUAAUGGGGAAAUAUGAAAUAGUUACUGAACUAUCUUCUAAACCCUGGUUUAUAGGAAUAAGUUUAUCAUUUAUAUUAGUACUAUCCAGCUUAUAGAAAUUAGGAAAAAUAUCUCCUAGAGUGCUUUAAGUUUAAUGUUUAUAAUACGUUAAUUUUUAAGUUUUUUUUUUUUGUUAAAUUGUUCAUUUAAGUUUUUUUUGUUAUAAAUUGAUCUUUUAAGUCAUAAUAUAUACACGAUUAUCCAUUUUUCAGUCAACUUUGUUAAAAAGUAUUUAUAGAUCAUUUAACAUUGAGAUGGUAAAUCCAAAAAUGUUUGACAUCAAACAUGAUUACUUACGCAUAUUUUCUUCCUUUGUUUUUGAAUUCAAUCUUAAUUUUACAUUCAUACUAUCAACAACAUUAUAAAUCAAAUAAUCUAUUAAUUUUAUUUCAAUCAAGGUUGAAUAAUAAUAUUAACUCUAGUUUUGAGAGCAAUGAAUUUAAAUUUAUCAACUUAACAUUGAACGUCCAAAUAAAUAUUUGUCAACUGAGUUUGACGAAAAUAGAAUAAUAGUAUAGAUAUUUUUUUGACUUAAAUGAUCAAUUUCUAACACCAAAAAAUGUAAAUGUAAAUGACAAACUUAUUAUAAACAUCAAACUUAAUGAUGAGAAACCAUACUUUAUCUAAAAAUUAUUAUGCAAGGGCAAUGCAUUUAGAAAUAAUAAAGUGUAUCAUAUCACAUGAACGAAAAAAGAGCAAGUGGGAUUUUAGACCCUACAUGGAUGUCCACCGGUAAUCAACUUGGCUGCAUUUUUGUUUGUUCAUGAGAUUUGAUAUCUGUUACUUGCUCUGUUACUUCCUAGUGUGCUGCAACGACCAGGUAUAAAGUAACACCCCUGAGUGAACUUUCAAAGAAGUUGCACACGGUUCAUCGAGGAUAAAGUAAAACAGCUUAGAAAAACAAUCAAUUAUAAUAAAAAAUAGUACAAUAAUAUUCGUAUUUUAAUUUGAUAAUGUGUUUACCCACACUUCUAUCAUCAUGUUGCUUUAGAGAUUUACUUCUUUUUAUCAAUUUCCUCCACUAUUUUCAUGAUAAGCAAGAGAGAGAAUUGAAAUACAAAUAAAAAAAAAGCAAAAUAAUUUUGGUUAUUUUUCCACCGCCUGUACGUUUUUGCCACGUCAACUACGACAAAUCAACAAAGUGAAAAUGGGUACGGUUUGGUACGUACGAUACGAGUAUCGCGUAUCGUACGCGUAUCCGGUACGGGUACUUUUCCAUGUUUAGAGUAUCCAUGCUUAAACUACCGUAAAAAAAUAAUACAACUGAACCUACACCUUGAAAUCAAAUUCCUUUUGAGACAGCUCACGUGAGGUUGUAAUGCAGUUGUGUAUGAGUUGUAAUUGGCUGUGAUAGAAUGACAUCAUCCUUAUCCAUUUGUAGCUUUACCAUAAUGUUCUCAAGAACAUUCUUUCUUUGUAAAACAAUUUUGUUCUUCUUUCUUUAAGGCACGUGCUUUUCCAAUUCCUUUUUAAAUGCAAAGGCAUUUAUGUAAUCAUAAGAUAUUCUUUCCAUUUAUGUCAUAUUAACAAAGUAAUUCACUUCGUCUCCAUUUACUCCGAAUUUUAAAAAAUUGUAAAAAUCAAUCAUUAGUCAUCUGAAACAUUCAAAACUACAAAUUAAACAAUAAGUUAUGCGAAAAAUGAUAUAAAUGAGUUUUUCAUAAAUGUUUCCUAUGAGAUUUUAAAUGUAUCCUAUGAGUUUUCUUUUUCUAAACGUCGGUUUAUAUAAAAUUUAGCGUGAAACCUUUUUUCGAUAUGGUUUAUUCUCAUGUUAUGAGGCUCGACAUUGGCUCUCGGUGUUAAAAAAAGUCGAUUUGAAGCGAUUCCUCCAAAAUUCAUUAUUGUUUAAUUUGUGGUUUUGUAUGUUUCAGAUGUCUAAUGGUUGAUUUUUAGAAUUUUUUAAAAUUCGGGCUAAAUUGAGGUCAAGUGAAUUACCUUGUUAUUCCAUAAACACACCUGGCGCAUUCGUAAACCGAAAGGCAUCACUUUAUACUCAUAAUGUCCAUAACGUGUUCUAAAAGUUGUCUUAUGCAUAUCUUCAUCUUUCACUUUAAUCUGGUGAUAACCCAAUCUCAAAUCAAUCUUGGUAAACACACAUGCACCCACUAACUGAUCCAUCAAGUCAUCAAUUCUCGGAAGUGGAUACAUAUUCUUUAUCGUUACUUUGUUCAACUAUCGAUAGUCAAUACACAAUCUCAUACUACCAUCUUUCUUCUUAAUUAGCAAUAUCGGCGCUCCUCAAGGUGAAACAUUUGGUCUUACAAACUUUUUAUCAAGCAAAUCUUCUAACUGUUUCUUCAAUUCAGCCAACUCAGAAGCUGACAUACGGUAAUAAGUACAAAGUAUCUUCUUCUGGUAAGACAUAGAGAAUAUUUUGCUUCUUGAUUUUGUACCAAAAAGUCCAUUUAUGUCCUUUUGCUUAUUUGCUUUGAUAAGGACGUUUUUAACUUGUCUUUUGAGCAAAGAACUUUCUUUCUUAUGUUAAGAACAUUCUCAUGAAACAUUUCUCACAAAAUUCAUCAGUAGAUAAUAAGUUAAAAAAACAAGUAUUAAAUGUUUGUAAUCUUUAAAACAUCAAAUAAGGAUUUUGUCAUCAACAGUUUUGCCCCCCUAUUUUGCCUCAUUCUGGAUUUUACCCCCCUAUUUUCAAAUUCGGAAUUCCAGCCCCCGUAUUUUACAUUUUUCAGGAUUUUACCCUCCCAACUAGAUUUAAACAUAAUUAUGUUGAUGCGGCAGUAUUGAUGUGAAUUUUAAAAUAUCAUCUUAGUAUCCUCCUAAUUAAUUUUAUUUGAAUGAAAUAUUAUUUUAUUAUUUAUUUUCUUAAUGAAUUUUUUUUAAUAAUUUAAAAAAAAACUAAAAAAAAUGCAGGAAAUAUAGAACAAAAAUUCAUAAAACUAGAAGAAAUAACACUUACUUAAAUUGAAAUGGGUGUCAAAAUUGCCUUCAUAAAAUUACCCCCAAAUUCGGGUAGCAUUUGGGUAACAUAGAGUUGGGUGACAUUGGUGACAUUGACCAAUCACAAUGUCACAAUGCUUGUGAAAGAGAGAGAAACACAAGCAUUGUGGCAUUGUGAUUGGCCAAUGUCACCAAUGUCACCCAACUCUAUGUCACCCAAAUAUUUUCCCCCAAAUUCAUAAUGAAAAGUAAAGAAAAUUGUAUUUUUUAGAGGAGGACACGCAUCAUUCACUUCAAAACACGCAUCCUUAGAACUAUUUAGGCCAGGUCCACACAUCCUUCACAUCACCUUAGGGACGGAUGCAGGGACAAACAUGCAUGGACUUGGCCCCCUCCCUCUUUCAUUCACUAUUCAAAACCAAUCAUCACAUAUUAAUAUAUGGUCAUACCAAUAAUAUAAUUAGUGUCCCACAAAUGCAAUGCAAUACUUGGGCCCCUCCCUCUUUCAUUCACUACUGGAGCUAAUUAUUAAGAGUAGUGAUAUAUGUACAAUCAUUUGGAAUAAUUUUGAAGACAAUUAUCAUUUUUUUUUUUAUUGGUACAAAACAAUAGAGAGAAAAAGGAAGAAGGAGAAAAAAAAUAUAUUAUGAGUAUGAAAAAGAAAGUUAUUAAAAAGUUGUUUUACAAAUAUCAUUUUUAUAUUUUUUUAUCAAUAAAAAGAGAUUAAAAAAAAAUUAUCACCAAAGUAUCACUGGUCUAUCACAUGAAAGGAAAAAGAGCAUCUGGGUUGCAGGUUUUAGACUAUGACAUAUGUCCACUACACAAGUAGUCAAGUCAGGGACCCACCCACCCCCACACAACUUUGUUGCACUUUGAUGUACGAAAACGCGUCAAUAAUGUGUAUGAAAAUUGAAAGGAAGUAGUCCCCAGCCCCACACUCUGCUGCUGAACUUUCAAAGAAGUUGCACAUAACAUAGUUUAUCAAGAGUAAAGUAGAGAAAUGUGUUCUAUAAAGCAAAGGUUAAGACAUUAGUCUCAUCAAUUUUUCUUCUACAAUAAAACUUAUUUUUACUUUCUCUUGCAUAUCAAAAUGUCCAAAGCCAUGACCUUAGUGUUGCUCCUCCUCCUAGUUUUGUCUCUUUUCACUACGGUGCUUUCUGAAGAGGUUGAGACUCUUCCCGCCACUUACUCUCCUACCCAUAUUCACAUGACAUUGCCUUCCACCGGUAGACGCAUGCUAGGGUUCGCCGGCGUUUUUGAGGAGGGUGUUGGAGCAACUGUAGAAAAGCAUGGUGAAGAAAUCGUAAAACACGCAAAAGAUGCUGUAGACGUUGCUCAGGAAGUUUCCUCUUCUUACAAUCCUACCAGUUCUUACCCUCUUGCCAGUUAUAUUAUAACAGUUAUAAUGGUUUAUGUACUUUAUGCAUGAGAAUAAUUUUAUUUGUUGAUAUCAUUGUAGUGGAUGGAUCGUGGAUUGGUGUAUCAAAUUGCCAACACUAGAUUUUCUGCUGAAUAAUGGCAAAUUUGUUAAGUUUAGUUAGAUUUUAUUACAGUUUGUUAAGUCUGUUGUCAAUAAGUUUGUCGCUCUCUUGUAAUAUGUGGUCCUAUAUGUGCUAGUAAGCUAUUGUAAUAAAAUUAGAUUUGUCAUGUUCAUGGUAGUAUCUGAAAUCUUUGUUGCACAACUUUGAAUUCAUAAAAUGUCUUUAUUGUUGAAGCUACUUUACUUCGAUUGCUUUUUCUUAUCUCCAUUGUAUCAUUUUUAUUAUGGCUUCAAAAAUGUAAUGAAGAUUGUUAUUCUAUGGCAUGAGAUCGUUGCAACACCUGUGUCAUCGAUUAAUAGUUCAGUGAACCCUAAAAUUCCCCAAAGUACAUUGUAGAUGGAUACUGUUGUUGAAAUACAGCAAUUAACAUCCAUAAUUUUCUGCAAUGAUAACAUUCAAAGUCUCAAAAAAAAAAAUUGUGGACUAUGGUAAAAGAAGCAGGACGAUUUUAGUAGAAUUGCAACAAGAAUAUGGCAGAUUUAUUAGCUAUUUACCGCAAUCUUGGAAUUACAUUGCAGUUUAAAAAUUAUGGUAAAGUUCUGUAUAGAGUCAAUAUUCUGAUCUUUUAAACUCAGGUUGGUCGAAACAGGUCUCAGGUUAUUUUAAAAAUAUACUAGUGCAAACCUAACAAUUGGCCAAUGAACACUUCUAAUAACGAAAUUAUAGAAUAGAAAGAUUUUUUAAGUCAAGUAUCAUUAAAUCCACCAAACUCAAACAAAAAGAUCUCAUUACUGAUUCAAAAGCAACAAAAAUAAAAUACUAUAAAAUAUCUAACUUUUCCUAAAGAUCCAAGCCCUUCUUUGGAGACUUUCCAACUUUUUUGGGAGACUUAGGUUCCUUAGCAGAAGCAGCUUUUUCGGCCUUCUUAGUUAAAAGAAUACCACCAUGAGCAAUUGUAACACCUACAAGUAGUUUCCCAAGUUCUUCAUCAUUCAUAACAGCAAACAACAAAUGCCUUGGAAUAAUUCUAUUCUUCUUGUUAUCACGAGCUGCAUUUCCAGCCAACUCAAGAACUUCAGCAGCAAGAUAUUCAAGAACUGCUGCCAGGUAUACUGGAGCACCGGUUCCGACACGCUGAGCAUAUAUACCCUUCUUCGAAUUAGUUUUUCGCUCUUGUAACAUGUAGAACUAUAUGUGCUAGUAUCAGUCGCUCUGUAAUCUUUGUUGCACAAAUUUGAAUUCAUAAAUUGUCUUUAUUGUUGAACUACUCUACUUCGAUUGCUUUCUCAUAUCUCCAAUCCCCAAUUUUUUACCUAGUUUACGACUCAAUUGAAUCAAUUUUAUAUCUUUUUCAUUAUGGCUUCAAAACGCUCGUCUAGCAGCUUGAACCAUGGAGGAUCCACCAACAGCAAGGUUAUUAGAAUCUUCGGAAAGUUCUAUACCAAGUCAGUAUUCUGGUUAUAUACAAAACGUUCAGAGCAACAGUCUAGGUACUGUAAUUGCUUCUCUCCCCUUAAACCGGAGCAAUUUAUCAUUCUUGAUCGCGAUGCAUUAUGUUCCAAGAACAAAAUCCACUUUAUUAAUGGCAGUUUGCCAAGACCAUCUAAUGAAGAUCAUGACUCCAAGACUGUUGCAACACCAUGGUUAUGUCAUGGAUUAAUAGUUCAGUGAACGCUAAAAUUGACUGAAGCAUGUUCUAGAUGGAUGCUGUUACUGAAAUUCCCCAAUGAUUUGGUCACUGAACUACAGAGUAUUCUAAAACACUGCAGCACUAAAAAAAAAAAAUACACUGGCCUAGGCUAAAAAAAUAGAGCUUAUUAGCAAACUUCUAACAAAGGAUAUGGCAUACAUUUUAACUAUUUACCACAACGUAAGCUUGGGAUUGAACUGCAUUUUUGAAAAUUGUGGUCAAGUUACAUACAGAGCCAUUGUUCUGAUUUUUCAAACUCAGGUUGGUUCAAAGUUCAAACAGGUCUCAAGCUAUUUAUCAAAAAUGUAAACAACUGAGCAAUGAACUUUUAAUGCGUAAAUCUCUUCUAUUAAAUUCCUAUCAUAAUAUUAGAAUAUAAACUUAAAGAAAUUGUAGAAUAGAAACAAUUUUGAAGUCCAAUCUCAUUAAAUCCAUCAUAUUCAUAGACAUAAAGUAGAGAAAUACUAAUUAAAUUAUCUAAUUGUUCCUAGAGAUCUAAGCCUUCUUUGGAGACUUUCCAGCUUUUUUGGGAGACUUAGGUUCCUUAGAAACAGCCUUUUCAGUCUUCUUAGGCAAAAGGAUUGGGUUGAUGUUGGGAAAAACACCACCAUGAGCAAUGGUAACACCAUUAAGCAAUUUACCAAGUUCUUCAUCAUUCCUAACAGCCAACAACACAUGCCUUGGAAUGAUUCUAUUCUUCUUGUUAUCACGUGCUGCAUUUCCAGCCAACUCAAGAACCUCAGCAGCGAGAUAUUCAAGAACUGCUGCUAGGUAUACUGGAGCACCUGUGCCUACACGCUGAGCGUAUCUUCCUUUCUUCAAGUAUCUACCGAUUCUUCCCACUGGAAAUUGAAGACCGGCUCUGAUUGAUCUUGUCACCGACUUCUUCCUUGGUUCUCCUCCCUUCCUUCCACCGGCUCCUUUCUUGUCCAUUUUGAACUGAGAUUUUGAGAGAAAGAAAUUUGAAUGCGAAGAAGGUUUGAAUUGAGAAUUUGAUGAAUGAAUUUUUGGGACGAUGCGGUGGGAUUAAUAUAUGAGAAGGUUCUCACGUUUCUAUUGGCUGGUGAGAUUUGUUGCGGAUCGAUGACGUGGAAUUGUUUUAAUCCGUUAAUUACAUGGCAUCGAGAUAUGAAGAUGGACGGGGAGGAUCGUGAUUUGAAAAAACAAUGAUGCGGAUCGAUGAGCUGGACUUGUGAUUAACAUAUAAGACGUUUUUCUCGUGUUUCUAUUGGCUGAUUAGGUUCCUUGCGGAUCGGUGACGUGGACUUGUUUUAUGCGGUGUGAUUAACAUAUGAGAUUUCGGAUGCACAUUUUUCCCUUUUUUUUUUUUUUUUCCCUGUUCACUCUUAAUAAAUAACUAUGCAUUGUGCCAAACAAAAUAAAAUAAAUUGCCAUGCAAAAAAUAGAUUAAUGAAGAAAAUAUAAAUAAUAUGAAAAUAAGUAUAUAUAUUGGUAAUUACACGUUCAAAAUCAAUAUUAAUCAACAUCAUCCAAACAAUAUUUUUAUACAAAAAUCACUUUUGCAGUACAUUUAAACAAACAUUUUAAGAAUUAGAAUAGUUCAAAAAAACUAAUUAUUGAUGUCACGAUAAUAAAAAAGUUAAAAGUCCCCAUGAACUUAGCUUAUUUGGUAAGGGAUAAUGCACAAUAUGUGCAGGGGUUGGGGUUCGAACCCCGAACACCCCACUUAUUCAUUUUAAGGUGGAUUUUUCAAAAUCACUAGACUAUUUGACCAAAAAAAAAUUAAAAAAUAAUCGUUCAUUAAUCGAUUGUUUAAGUGUGUACACUUUUUUUUUUUAAGAGAAAUUGUGUACACUCAAUUCGUGUAAAUAAGAAAACCCGAGAAAUAUAGUCCAAGUAUUUUUGAAAUAGGUAUGGUCUAUGUUUUUGGAAUGGCAUUUAUUUUUUCAAAUUAGCAAUUAGAAAUCACAUUGAGCUAGAAUCUUAGUUUUCAAGCUUCUUCAUUUUCACGGUGGGCACGCUUUGAGCCGUGUGUUUGGCUGCUCCACCGCCAAAUCAAACACUCACAUAGUCUAAGUUAUUGACCAUCGAUUAUAGUUAGGGAUGUUCAAAACUGAACCAAAUAAAAAGAAAAAUCGCAAACCGAAUCAAUCCAAACCAAAAUCGCAAAAAACUGCAUUUGAUUUGGAUGUAUUCGGAUCAUUUUUUUACUCAACCGCAUGGUUUGGUUCAGUUUGCAGUUUUGAUUUUACCAACCGAACCAAACCAAAUCAAAUCGCAAUAUAAGAAAAACAUUAAUUAAAUACAUAUCAUCUAGACCAAUACUCAUUGAGAUUCAAUGAAACUUUAAUAAAAUGAAAUAUUAUUUUGUUAUGUUAAGUUUCUUCUUUGUUUUAUCUAUCAAAAAUGUAUUUAUGUGCUACUUGAACUCUUAGAAAAUUAUUAAAAUUUUAGUUUUUUGAAUUUUUUACAAAAUAGGAUUAUUUUUUGUCCACGUUUUAAUUUGUUCUACGUAGUUGGGAACAUUGGUAGAUAGAAAUAAAAUUAUAAUGUUUGAUGAAAUUUAAAACAUUGUUAAAAAUAUGUUCUGUUUUUACUUUUUAAUUUGAUUUUAACGUUGAAAACAAAAAAGAAAUAUUGUCCAAAAAAACCGCAACAAUCGAUCCAAUCCAAACCGCAUUGGUUUGGUGUGGAUUAUAUUUUAAAAGUUAACCGAACCAAACCAAACCGCAUACUUAUUUAUCUUGCAGUUCGGAUGACUUUUAACCUCAAAACCGAACUAAACUGCACCGCAAACACUAACAAAAGCAAUUGUAAAAGUAGCACAAAAAAUUGGUCUCCUCCACUUUUCUCGUAGCCUAAUUCAAUUACCGACAAAAAAUAAUAUACAAAUUAGUCCAUAAAAUUUUAAUACAAGAACAAAUGAGCUUCUGUUAAUUUUGACUCGCUAAAAAUCAAGUACAUGUUUUGAUUGGAGUGAUUCUAAUAAAAUCACGUAAUGUCAUCAUGGUUUUAACAAAAAUUACACCUUAAAAGCUUCAACAAAAUCACAGUAUCAUUUUUAUUUUGUCAAACUCAAUGUGAUUUCAAAGAUGAAUUAAGUAGACAAAUCACAUAUGCUUGAUCCAAAAAAGUUGAAUUUCUUAGCAAAGGGGCUUCUUCCUUCACUCCUGAAUUUUCUUUUUGUCUUUUUUGAAUAAGCAAAAUGUAUUCAUACAAACCUAAUCCAAGACAAGAAGUACAAAGACUAGAUCACCAAAGCAGCAACAUUUCAAAGUUUCUACAUGUGCAGGAAAAACCAUACCUAUAACAUCGACACUGUACAAAAUACUAAGCCUGGUAAUAGAGGCGCCCAAAACUAAACAGAUAAGUGACAACUCUUGAAAUUUUACACUGUAUGGUAGAAUCUUCAUUGUCAUCUUUUUAUUUAGCACCAACAAACAAAGCAAAAUAUAGUGUGGCGGAAGCAGCUAGCUCUUGAAUUUGAGUCUGCUAGUUGGAGGGUCAAUCCCUCUGAUCAAAUACUUCCUUCGUGCAUGACUACCACAAUGAUUCUUUAUCUCAAUGUACUCUAGAAAUCUAUUGCCUAUUAGAGAGACAUAUACAAAUAGAGUAUCAAUUUCUCACUUCUUUAGGUCAAUAAUUAAUUAAUAGUAAUUUAACAAGAAAAUAGUUGAUGUAAAACCAAAAAUUUAUGUAAUUUAAUUAAGUCUAUUCUACACAAACUGGUGAGGUUUGCUCUUAAUGUGUAUAAGCAUCAGUCUUGUUCAUUUCUGAUCAUCAUAAGGCAGAAUUACAGCAAACACAUCCAUGAUUUUCUGCAACAGUUUGAUAUAUUACAGCAAGCAUAAUGCCAAUUCCAUACACUUACCAUUAAAAUGAAAAACUUGGUGAAGAUAAUUUUCUGCAAUGUUUCGGAAUAAAUUGUAGAAAACUCUGAAUAUUUAUGACAGAGAAAACUCUAAUUAAGUCUUAACUUGUGCUAAAGUUCUAUACAUACUCAGGUUAACAAGCUUCUCAUUUUUCAUGCUUUUUCAAAAAAAACAUAUGCAAGUGCACAACUGACUUUGGCUAUUGAACAUUUUAAAUAUAAUUCCCUUCUACUCAAUCACUACAAAAAUUAAGAGCUCGGGAAGCAUAGCACUGAAUUAUGUCAAUCAUUCUUAAGCAGCUAUGAUAAAUCCAAUAAUAUUAAUUUUUUGUUAAGAAUAAGUGUUCAGUCUUGGCUAACUCUGGUUCAUAGAUUCCUUCAAAUAUAUUGUGCAAGACACAUUUUCAAAUCAUAAUUUUCAUUAAUUCCAGCAUUAUAAUACACAAGGGGGAUCGAGUAGAUCCCAUUAGUUCAUAACAGCUUUGAAAAGGUAAAAUUUAAAGAAUUUAAAAGUCUAAUGGUGCUUAAACUAACAAUCCAGUAAACAAGAACUCCAAAACAGCGACGACAUAGUUUCAAGUUUAAGAACUUGUAAACUUGGCCAAUUCACCGGGCAGAACAAGCCUGACUGCGGUCUGAAUUUCCCUUGAAGUGAUUGUUGGCUUCUUGUUGUAGCGAGCAAGUCUGGAGUAUUCUUGAGCGAGCUUCUCAAAGAUAUCGUUGAUGAAAUGAUUCAUGAUUAGGGUGCUUUGAUCAUCUUCUAUUAGAAGCGGUAGUUUCAGACAUUGGUCUUGAUGCUGUCUUAGAUGAACAGCCAGCGAGCUUAUUGUUUGUAGAAGCUGUAUUGCGGAAUUUCGCCUGGUGUGGUGUGUGUGGCUAGUGGCUACCUUACAGAGUAUGAGUCAGUUUUGUGUCUAAAGAAUAUAGCUAGUGCUGCGAAGUCUUGGAAGAAACCAAUUUUUUCAUUUUGCUUCGCUUCAGCCGUUCAGCGGAAAUAUCGUGGGAUACAUAUUGUUUCUACAAUUUUAAUCCUUGUAAACUUUAUUUGGCUAUGGUGUUGUAGAUUUAUUCGUAUGAUGUGAUCUUGGAGCCGUUGUUUGGUUUGUGGGUCGUCGGUGAGCAGAGACAUUUUAGGAGAUUGAUGAAUGGCUACACUAGACCUGAGAAAGAACUUAAAUGAUUUCCACCCUCUUCUGAAAACGCCAUGCUAAAUCCUAACCAAUUUGCUUUUACGUACCAAACUCUUGAGGAAAAAACAGACAUUCAAAACUAGGUGAUCAACGGAUUUCCCCUCACCAUAACCAACCACUAACGCAAACUUGAUCAUUACUAUCCAUAAUCCCCCACCUCGCAAAAUUAGCUCUGGGUGGAACUUUUUUAAGAUCGUUCCCCCUUUGCAAUAUAGAAUUAAAUUUAAACAAUAUGUUGAUAUAUCCUUGAGCUGGAUAUAGAAUCAACACAGCAUGUGAUUCUCUCUCUGGCUCACCUCUGAACUAUCGUGUGUGAAUGUUAAGAUGGUAUGUGCUUAAAAGACAGUAUAUAAGCUUGUGCUUUUAAUGAGAAAAAAACUACAUUUACAAAUCCAGUUUUAAAAAUACCAAGUUACACAGACAGAUAGAAAUUUUCAAAGUUCUAAUAUUAAGAAAUAAAAAUUUGUCCAUCAAACUCAACAAUUGUUAGGCAAUUAAAGGUUAAUUCUUAUAACACAAUAUGAACAAUUAUAAAUCUUUACAAUAUACACAGAUUCUGUAAAAUUUAUUCAUAGAUUACAAUCAAUUACAACCAGCUGGUUUUCAAACAAAAAAUUACAACCUAAUUGUCUUGCUUCAUCCAUGACGCAAGCAAACUAAGUUAAUGUGAACAGUCAGAUUUCUCAUCAUAAGCACACGAUAUCUAGAUAUAUAAUUGAAUCAGAGCAAACUAAGCUGUGUAACAGUUUUUACGGUUAACAAAAUUCCAGAACUCAUGCUUUCUGAUAAAAUUUAAACAGAUGCACCAACAACCAAAUUGAACAAUACAAACAUUUUCAAAGCCAUAUAUCAUUAAUUUCAUCAAUAUGAUACAAAAAAGAACCAGCCCAUCCUAUUAGUUCAUUACAACUUUAAAAAAAGCAAAUAACAAACUACAAAUUAAAAAUAUCUAACGAUUCUUGAGCACAACAAAGGCCACCGAUUUUCUCUCAGAUCUAAGAACUAGUAAACUUGGUCACAGCCUUGGUGCCUUCAGAAACAGCAUGCUUGGCCAAUUCACCAGGAAGAACAAGACUGACUGCAGUCUGAAUUUCCCUUGAAGUGAUUGUUGGCUUCUUGUUGUAACGAGCAAGUCUGGAUGAUUCUUGAGCAAGCUUCUCGAAGAUAUCAUUGAUGAAACUGUUCAUGAUACCCAUGGCCUUGCUUGAGAUACCAAUGUCUGGGUGAACAUGAUUCAGAACUUUGAAGAUGUAGAUCUUGUAUGUUUCUACAUUCUUCUUGCUUCUCUUCUUCUUCUUCUCUCCGGCUGCGGAGCCACCUUCCUUAGGAAGCUUCUUUCCAGCCUUUGGCUUCUUCUCUGCUGGAGCUUUCUCGGCAACGGUGGACUUCUUCUCCUCAGCAGGUUUCUUCUCCGCUGGCUUCUUCUCUCCCUUUGGCGCCAUUGAAUUGAAUCAGAGAAAUUGAGAAACUGAAACUUUGGAAAUAGUUAGGGUUUGAAAAUUGAGAAAGAAAAUGAUUGUGAAUUGGAAGGAGAUUGAAGUGAGC
rnacentral:lncRNA from 1 species